AGAAGGUAAAGCUUGGUGAGUGAACAAAUGCAAGCCUGGCCUUGCUCCUGCUUUCCUGACAGAGGGAUGCAAUGCCACUGCGGCCGCUCCAGCUUUAUUACUUUCAGUGGCGAAUUAUAUCUUCAGCUUUUCAACAGCACGAUAUUGUCUUCCUCUUGCUAUCCCACCCUCUAAAUACUUUAGUGAGAUGCAGUCCAUUUACCUGAAUCAACUCUAGCCAUCUCCAAUUUGUUAAAGACUCUUCGGCACCCCCGAGUACAGAGGGAGAUAAUUGAAUUGAGCUCAUUCUUCUUGCUGAUUUUCUCAUGUUUCCUAAGGGGACUUGAGGAGGAAAAUAAUUCUCAGAAAAAAAAGGGGCCUUUUUUAAUCUAUUGCAAAGGCUAUUCAUGAAAGGGAAUAUGAAAGACGUAUGAGAGGGGAGAGAUGGGUUAGGCAGCGAGAGGAAGAGAUGGCAUUGCAGGCUUAUCACUUCAAAGAGAUUUAUAGCAUGUGACUGUUGUUCAUGAAAUUUAUGCUGCUUUUCCAAAGCACACACUAUAAGCAUUUAAAAUUCUGAGAGAAAUGAUACCUUAAAUGGUCUCACUGGGGAAUAUAUUGAUAGGACUAUCAAUUAUUUUCAUUGGUAAGGCGUUCAAACCAGUUAUGUUACCAUGUUACUUUUCCUUUUUUAAAAAACAAAACCUUUCUGUAGGAGCUGAAGAAUAGAUAUUCUGACCAUACAAACUGCUGUACGCAUACAUUACUGGACGUGCAGGAUCAGACAUAUGACCUGAAUCAUGUCACCACUUUCCCCUUUUUCAUGAUUGAUCUCUAACAAAUGCCUGAUAUCACUAUUCCCCUGCCCAUCACUUCAACACACAAAGAACUAACCAGAGUCUGUAUCGCUGUCACACUGACUAGAAUGUAAAUAUGCACGCCAUGCUGCUGCCAUCACCAAUCCAAUGCUUGAGUAAGUGAUAAGAUUAAAAGAUAGUGUAUUGCUGCUUUUUCAGGUGCUUGUUAUAUUGUAGUAACACCUAAGGGACCACAGAGUGUAGGGUGUGCAAGACCAAUCAUGUUUGGUGUUUAAUGGGCGAAACAUAAUAUUUAAUGUAAUUAGCCUCAUGUGGAUUUUCCCAAAGAUGUUUCUGAGGGAUGUAAUGGCACAGGAUAUUAUAAUGAUAAUUAUUAUUAUUGUUAUAUCCAAAACAUUUGUAGGCCUUUGCUUUUUACUCAGAGUAGGUUGUCAGUAGUUAGCAAACAACUUAUUGUUGCUAAUUUCGAGCCCAGCUAAGUCAGGGUCAAUGCUACUAUGUAACUAAGUAAAUUACAUAGUAGCAUUGACCCUGACUUGCAACUACAUACUAAGCUAGCUAAUAAAGGCUUUAGCUAGCAUUCUGGUACCUUUCACAUUAAAUCAAAAUUUGAAUGUCCUCAUAUGUUGAGUUACAUCGAUCUGUCAUUAAGUAAAAUGACUCACUUGUAAGAAUUAGCAAAACUAAUCAUCUGCAGAAAUAGAGAGCUGUUAAUUCACCUCAUCAUCAUGGAAAAUUCAAUGGAAGCUGUUUCAAUAGUUUCUUUACCUUUGGAGUAGCAUGUUAGUGAAAAUGUUUUUUUUUUAAGAAUUGCUGAUGGGAACUUGUCAUGUCACAUUUCUCUUCUGUGGUAGGCUACCAUCAACACAAUAACUUGAUAAAGGGCAGUAUUUACUGGUAUUUAUGUUUUAUUUUUCAUCUAUAUGUUGUUUUUUUUUAUUUACUCAACAAUCUCAGUUUUUUUAACCCACUACAACAUUAAUACAAUACAAUACGAUAAGUUUAUGUAUCUCCAAAGGGAAAUUCAUUUGCCUGGAAUUUCAUGAAAAAUUUGCUCUAGUAGUACAGUUAAAAGUUUACAACAAACAUAUAACUAUAUUACAGUAUCUUUUCAGUAGCAUGACUAAAAUUCUUGUGAAAUUUACUCUCAAAAUUACACAGUAUGUUCCCUAGUUGAGCUGUGACGCAUUUAAAAAUGCAGGGCCUCUUAUUUGAAACCUUCUGCUCAUCAGUAUUUUAAGGUAAAAGUGUCUAACAUGGCAUUUAAAUGAAACUGAACAACUGUGCAGUUAACUGUCGGCCAUCUUUAAUUGAUGUUGAUAUACUAGAGGGAGAUUCUAGGUUAAAAUUAGCCCAAUGAAGCCCAGAAUAGCAUCCUUAACUGUGAGAAUCAGAGAAACGGUUAUGAGCCUUGGGCUUCACUUUAAAUGCUUGAAAUGAAUACUGUAUAAAUGCAUGAAAGCUUCAUAUUAGAGCAAUUUGAAAGUGAAUAAUUUAGUUAUAAAAUGAAUAAAGAGACACCACUUUCGGAGUGAGAUAAACACCAUGUUUAUUGUGACAUGUGACAUGUGACAUGCAGCAGAAAAUAGAGCAGAAGCUUUUAACAAGGAGGUGACAGCUUUUUGGUUCACAGAAAAAAAGUAAACUUUCCACCAAAAAAGCUAAGCUCACUGUUAAUUUCCAAACUACCACAGCAGUCUGACAUGCUUCUGAAAAACUGUUGACACAUUCUAAAUGAAAAUCAUCCCUCUCUCUUCAUUCUCUUGAAGUAAUUCUUCAUUAGUUAUGAUUGUUCACCCGUGCCAUAAAUACAAAGGAUUACUUUCUGAAGAAAUAACAAAGGACCUCUUUUGCCUCAGAACCGCACAACAUAAAAGAGGAAAGCCUUUGACGAGUUAAUGAAUUUGAAUGGAUAAAAUCACCGCUGCAUGUGUACUCGCCCAGCAAGUAAAAUUCAAUUAAAAAAUAUAUGCAGUCAUGAAGGGAACAAAAAAAAAGCACAUUAAAGUCAGCCGUGGAAUAAAGUUAUCAGUUGAGGUUUUCGGGUCUACUGUUGUAAGUGGUCCAAAAUUUGUGAUUACAGAAUUGCAAAGCAAAUUGUGUUAAGCUUUAAUGGUGACAAGGAUGCAAAGAUUAUACCUUUAGGAACAGUAACACUGGCCUGUGAUGUUGCCAGUUUGCUUCUUUGGUGUGGAUUAUUGUAAUUAUUGGAUCUAAAUAAUGUAGAAAUAAGAAGAAAUGUGUGGUCCAAAAUGAAUAAAGCAAAAAAAUCAUCAUCUUUGGUGAUCUCAGACCUCUUUCCUAGCAACACUGUAAAGACCAACUGUUCUGCAAAUUGGUCCAUAUGUAUUACUUUUAAAGGAUGAACUUUAGCACACAAUUCAUAAUUCAGUUAAGUAUACUGCAAAAUACAUGCAUGAAAAUCUAUAACUGAAUUAGCCUUAUUUAUUUUUAUUCUAUAUUGAAUGGUGCUACACAAAUGUUGACAUGCUUACAUAUCAUAGUGGGAUGAUGGUCACUGUACUCAUGUCUCUUGCUUACCAUCAGCAGUCUCUUUCAGUGUUGCACACCAACACAUUUUUCUGUUAGUGCGCUUCCAUGAUAUAUGUGUAUGUAUGGGAAUUUCUUAUCUGUUCCUCAGUUGAUGCAUGAGACUAUUUCAGAUGUCUGAGACAGUAUUCCCUGCAUGUGGUUUAGGGAAUAUGCUCCUUGUUGAAGUUGAUGAAUGUCUGUCUGGAAACAGUAUAUUUGUUAGAUUGCUACGCUACUGGGCUGUCAAUCUACUUGUGCCUUUAAAUACACCGCAGCAGCCUUGCUGCAUCCCACAAAUCCAAUCCCAUCAGCUGCUUCUCUCCUAUGAAGAUAGUGGAAGGCUUGAUGUAUGUCUGUGAUAGGAAAGGCCAAUGUUAGUGUGAAUUGAGCUGACAUCCAUCUGAAUGGGUCAUGGCUAUGUUGUUGUGUGUCUUCUGCCUGCAGACUUUUAGGGCUUGUAUUGCAACUAUUAUAAGGACAUAUUAACUGCAAGGUCUGACACUGUGCACACAGAGAUUGCCUAUAUUUCACCUGUCUCGAACAUUAUAGUUGCUGUGUGGUGGAGGUGCUUGCUGCAGCCUUGCUUUGACAGUCGUGAGUGACACUGACUGUGUGUGCUUACACACAGGCCCAGGGCAGAUGGACGCAGGCAGACCUGCAGAGUGACAGAGGGGAAGGUGAAAAAAAGAGGAGAGUGAAAGAGAGAGAGGGAGAGAGAGAACUGCAGCUAAGUCUAUAUUCAGCACCAUGGAUAGCUACCAUCAGACAUCUCUUCAGGCAGCAUUUGUUUGCUUUUAUCUGAAUCACUUAUUGCCAACAAAGCUAGUGCACACUGCCUCACAAUGUCACUGCACAAGGCAUGAUUUUUGCAAGUUCCCAGGAUUCAAGCUGGCUGGGUCCUUGAUCUACAAUCAUAAGCUUUUAGUCCACUCAGAUUCCUACAAAGACAAUAUUAUCCAGCGUCUCAACUGCUUAACCUCUUGGUAUAAUUUACCGUGUCAUUACAAUGGCAGCAUUUAAAUCUUAAGAAAGCAGAACUAACUUACUGCUUACCAUAAAAAAAAUGACUUCUAAUAGCCCCUGAGGUGAUUUGACACCUGCAGAAAUUAAAUGAUUUCUUGAUUCUCUUACAAUUUUGUGCAUACCUGCAUACCAAUCUAAGUAAAAUUCAAACAUUACUUUAAGUCAGUCUAAGUACGGUACAUUACUUUUACCAACCCCUGGGUGUAGGAGGUGAACAAUACUUCAUCAUAGACUUUGCAAUAUGAAAGUGGAAUUUAUAACCCUAGUUAAAAUAGAAUAAAUAAACUUCCAGGCACUGCUGUAUUUUACACUUCUUGAAGCUUCUAUCCAGUGUUGUUUUCUUUGACGAUGACGUUGAUGAAUAUUUCGUCAUCAUCAACGAAAACAACACUGGUUGAUUCCGUUGACAAAAAUAUUUCGUCAACGCCCCUUUUUUCCACGACGAAGACAUGACGUUGACGAGCUAAACAUAAGUCUUAGAUGACAAAAGUGUGACGAGACGAAUGUGCACAUUGACCAGACUAGACAAAAAAACAGUUAGUGGUGGCCGACGAACAGAGUUGCAAAAUUCAUGAGCAUUUCAACAGUCAAACGCUAACAACGAAAACAACACUGCUUCUAUCCCUGUUUUAUCGCUGAUGAUAAAAACAGUCUAAAUCAGUGGCAGUGGGGGGGACUUACAAUAAUUCCAUAAUGCUACAACACAGCUGGUGCAAUGACCGAUGAUUAACAAACACAUACCCGUAGAGAGCAUUUGAAUACCUAUUACAAAGUUCGUUUGGUUUGCAUUAUUCUCCUGUUAGGAUUUUCAAGGUGUAUCACAGUUUAAAAAAGUCCCCAGUUCAAAAAACUUGAAUUUAUUUGUCACACUGCUCUACUACCUGUAUGUAAAGAAGCACAGAUAACUGGUGUAGCACAGUCUAGUUUGGCAGUAUAUUGAUCUAGGCAUUGGGUAAUGUCAUAAGUAGGCUGUAUGUUGUCAAACUGGCUAAUGACUACUUGACUUGAGCGAUGUAUGAUCAACACAGAUGUGUGGAUGUUUAGUUUAAAAGAAGACUGAAGGUUAAUGACACCUGUACUGCCAACAUUAGCCACACUGGGUAAACAAAGCUGACAUUGUUUACCUGCAGACUGAUCCUGUGUUUAGCUAUGUAAAAUUUGACUGUUUUCUGGGUGUUUAUUACCUUCAGAGUCGUGAGAUCAUUUGGAAAUAAGUUGCUUUGUAACAUCCCCUGAUGAAACUUUAUUUUUCAUUUUGGCUGUGGCUAUGUCGGUAUUUUUGAACCCCAGACUGUUUUAUUUGGACAUGCUGGGAGUAGGGGAGAAGUAAAGAGUUUGAUCACAUUAUCACAUUAAUACUGUUAUCUUGGCUGUACUAGCUAAUUCAUUUGCCAAAUAAUCUUCUUUUUAGUGAUGGGUUGUCAAGCAGAGUGGUAUCUUUUUCAUCGUAGUUGUAGAGGGUUGAUGUUUUUUUGACUUGAGAAACUUGGAGAGCAUGGCAGGUGGAAAGAACUAACUAGGUUAUCAAAGAGAAUUGUUGUUCCCAUGGCUACAGCGCAUUGCAGAUGAAAGCCAGGAAUAGUUCAAACUACCAAAAAUAAAUGAAUAAAUAGUAUUCAUAAGUAUUUGUUUUUUCAGGUGCACUGAAGGAUAGUCAUCUUCAGAUUUGAUCUGUUUUCGUCUGCCUACUUGAUCCAACACCUUUAACUUUGAACUGUCUACUGUUGUUGUCAAAAAGCCAUUUUGCCAUGAUCUUAGAUUGCAGUGAUCCGAAACAGUGUUUUACCCUCCUCUGCUGCACUCUGCUUUUUCUCUGCUCAGGCAACUUUUGAUCCAUAUCGCCACUGCGUUUUUAAUCAGAGCUUUCAAAUUUGACCUUGACUUGAAUCCAUCAAGCUGACAUUUCUGGUGGGAAAAAAAAGGGGCUCCAAUGGCCGCCUCAGGAAUCCAAUGAUCAGCUCUCCUAUGUGCUCAUGUAGGGUGUGAUUCUUUGCUCUCUGAGCGUUAUAAUUACAAACUUGUUCUAUCUGCACACUCUCAGCACCUAUUUAAAAAAGGUAUGAAGCCAGUGGAAGCUAUAGUCAAGAGGUUAUUAUCAUAAGUCUGUGAAACACAGCUCAUGUAGAGGAAAUUAUAGUCCUCCCCAUACCUCCCUUACCCUCUGUCCUCUCACUCUCUCUCGUCCUGUUUGUGAAUUACUUUUAACCUACAAUCCAAACAGCUUUGACAGGGAUUAUGGAGUUUUGAUGAGAGACAGAGAGAAGCUGGAAGAAAGUGAGUUUGGGGUAAUGAAGCAGCAAUGUCAAGAAAUGAUUUAUGAACGACUCUUUCCCCUCACUCUGCCUUCUCUGAGAUGUAGUCGCUUCAAAUAUCACAUUUCAGAAAAAUUCAAUUCUGACCACGCACCAAGUGAUCAGUGUACCAUUUCAAGAAAUUGGAUAGCAUUGUUUGUGUAAAAUAGUAUCCCCAAGCCUCCCAAUGAUAUGUCAGCAAUAUUUUCACAUAACAGCAGAACAAUGCACAUUCAGAGCAAUAUUUCAGGGAGAUUGUAAAGCUUGGCAAAGAAAGCAUUUAUUGGGAUUCUCGAGUUUUCUCUUUUUUUAAUUUUCGCAUCCGUGGGAGUAGUGUUGUGCAGUGUUCAUGAAUUUCAGACAGAUGAGUCACAAGCAAAACAGGCCCAGGGUCACUGCCUGAGCUAAUGAACAGUUUAUAGGCAGCAGCAUCUCCAGCCACUGAGUAGACUGCAUCUCAUUGUGCGAAAGAAAAAAAAAAGACAACAACAAAUCAUUGCAAAACAUCAUACAAUCAAAAAUAACAAAGACUGUGUACAAGAUAUUGGUCCAAAUUAGAUUAGAAAAACACUUUUGUUCUUGGCAUCAACACUAAAGGUAAUAUGUAGUUUUUAUGACAACCAUCUGUACUGCCUUUAUUGCAUUAUUGUGCUGUUUUUCCCUCUCACCGCACACUUAUAUUUUAGACAAUACGCUGAAAUGUUCAUCCAGUGUUGCUCAAAAUGAGUAAGCAGGUGGGAGUUUAAUGUUUUGCCUCAGGAAAAGCCAACAAAUACUGCCUGAAUGAUUAUAGACCCACACAUAUGUUGAAAACCAGUUAUAUAAUGCCUCAGUUAGUGGACACAUUGUAAGGUAACUGGUUAGGAGAUACGUGUAUGGCAACAAUUACCCAGAACUUUGUAGCAAGUGUUAUGAGACACUAAGCCUCAAUUAUAACUUAAAGAGCAUGCUGGUAAAUGAGUCACAGAUGGUUUCAAAGGUUUGACAAUUACAGUUGUGUGGGUAAGGCUGCAAAAAUGAAUAAAAAGAGAAGUCUAACCAGUGUAAUUGCUGUGUGUUACCAUUUGGAGCUGGUAACCCCGCUCACCUUGUGUAAAGUUCUAAGCGAUCUUACCAGUCCCUUUUAAAGAGAUAGUAUCAUGCUUUUCGUAUUCUAAAAACAAGUUUUUGAUGGAAAAUAGUUGAUGUUGAUACUAAAUGUGGGUAAAAUGUUAAAUUGUGAGGUAAAUGUGCUGUAAUCCUAGAAUAAAACUGACUAUUUCUCUGAACUGUCUAUUCAAAAAGUCAUACAAGAAUAAUGCAGGGAAGGCGGCUCGCUCAAUUUGUGACAUCACAGAUUGAAGACUCUCUUUAAAUGUGCAAUAUAGACACAAUAAUCAAAUUAAAUAGAAAUGGCCUUCUCUAUUGUUUCUCUUUUGAAGUCUCCAGGUGAAUUUAAGGGUCCAAAACACAUAGUUGAUUUAUUCAUUUAUUUAUUUAUUUUUUGUCAUUUUGAGGAGAUGAACUAAACUAGGACAAUUUUGGAGCGUGGCUACAGUGGCGAAAGCUUCUUGGGGGGCUCCUCUAUUAGAAAAAAAUAGAUUCAUAGUAAUUAAAGUUUGAAAGGGUCUUUUAAGAAACCACCACUAAAACUAAGCUAGAAGCCUGAGAUACAUAGUUUGUGAGCAGUAAAUCAAAUAAAAAUAACCUUUUCAUGAUGCACUUUUUUUAAGAAACAAGAAAUGUAUAAUAAAACUGAAUAAACAAGAAAUUAUCUAAUGGGAAAAAAGGAAGUCAAUGAAUUAAUGGAAAUGAGUAUAAGGAAAUAUUAGGAACAAUAAAAGACCUGAGAGAGCAGGUGUGUCCACGCUCAGGACCUCAAAUGACUACCCCAGAGCUCCAGGGUCAUGUACAGUUGAGUGCCCAGUUUUCAUCAGCUAGCUGUCACUAUCAUCAUGGUAAUUGAGUUGGUAAAAUUAAUGGUUGUAGUCGUGAGCUUCAAUGGACCUAUUGCCCUCAACCAGUUUUCGGUCAACCACCUUCAUGGACUGAAUCAUGAAUGAUCAGAAUUACACGAAUCGGGAUUGAAGGGGGCUUAUUUGCCUUAAAAUAUUAUUUUUAGUUGGUAGUGAUGUUGUCUCCCUCAUAAGACAGGAAUUACUGCCUAAUAAUGCAGAAAGAAAUGUGUUGGUGUUUUUCUGGAUUCCAUUUCAAAUCUUUUAUCUGAAAGUAAAGUUUUAUGACCCUCAAGCAGUUCAAAUCCUAUCUAAGUUGUGUGUAUAGUUUCACCCUGCAACAGUGGCUCCGGGGAAAUACCCCAUGCAGAAGACCUUCCAUCUUCUUUGACAUUUAUACAGACUUGAGCCCGUUAAAGAAUGCUGCACUGUGCUACCCUUAACAUAUUCUGGUUUUCCAUUUGUCUUCAUGCUGCCACCUUGCAAGGCAAUCAGACUGUCCCAUCUCGGCCAGAAGCAUGAAGGAUGGCUGUGACAGUUGGAGGCCCCAUGUUUGGCCUCCUGUGCAGAUGAUGUGUUACAUCCCUGGCAGGCCUUUGAUGGUCCUCAUGUUUCCCAAUCAAAAUCUAUCACCUCUUUUGACUGUACAUUGUUAUGACUGAAGAACAGAGGACUACAAACACAGGCGUCUGGUAGUCCCUCUCUGACUAGACUCCAGCCAUCUGUCUUUGUAAAGAGACUGGCCUUAUUCACGAAGGCCUUGGAUGAGAGUGUCUCGUGUAGUGGGAGGGACAGAGGAGGCUUUUUGAAUGAAGCCUUGAUCAUAACAAAUGCAUAUCAACAGACAUUUGCUGUGGAGGCACUGCUUUGUAUGCAGGAUGCAACCCCAAUGGUAAUCAGGAAGAACAAACUUAACCAAGCUUUUAAUUGUUGUUUGUGUAACUGUCUGAUCCCAUUUAAAUCACACAGCGGGAUCUGCACAACAUAAACGCAUAUAAGUGGUAUAAUAAGGGAUUUUGCCGUAUAUCCUCUCAAAAUGGAAUUAGAGGUUCCUGUAAGAAUAGAGUUAACAAAGCAAUUACGUCUUAAUCGUUUUAAACUCUGUAAAUGUUGGGUCUUGAGCCUGCGAGAAAAUUUUCUGUAUUGAUCCCAGCUUUGUUCCUCUUGCAUGUUUGCUGGCUGUAUAGAUAAGAGGGCUGUAUGUGGACAUAAUAAUGGGACCAAUGGUGACAAUCAGUGCAUAAUCUCAGCUUUUUUGUUAGAAAUUGCAAUAGCUUUGUUUUCGUCUGUUUCCUGUUCCCAUUAUCAACCUAUCUAAAACCAGGAAGCACAAACGCAUGAAACUUCUUUUUUUAAGUUUUCCACUUUUUAACACAACAACUGAUGAUCUAUCCAUUACAAAACACUUGGGUUUAAAGUCAUGGUUUACCUCAAGUGUGUAAAUUGACCCUGAAUCUAGUCUUUUUCAUGUUUAGGAUGAUUUAAAGUCCAUGAGAUUUAUGUGAGGUUGUCACAUGACAUAAAUAUGUGUCAUUAAUUUUCGAACCAAAUCUAAGAAUCACCAAGUAGACAAAAUAUUCCAACACCAUGAAACUUCUUUAGCUGUAAUUUAUGCUUUCAGGACAGUGGGGCCAUGUUGGCUAAGUGCACCACUUUUGCCUCUCUCAAUAGUCAAUCAUCUCUCUUGUAUGGUUUGAAAGCUGGACUCAUCAACCACAGACUGAUUCCUAGUCGAUCCUGAACGCUGUAAAGUCAAUUCAAGUUUUUAUUUUUCAUUGUGUACCAUUGUUCCCCUGUUUACACUCAGUCAUAUCCUGACACUUAUGUGCAUCACAGAAUAUUUCAGACAUGCACAGACGCUCCUUAGGUAGAGACAAACAUUUAUUUUACUCGUCCAAAUUGUAGAGCUGCUCUGCUAACUAGUUUACUCCUCUCUUGUGUCUAUAUUGAAUAGCCUCAUAGACUAUUCAUGUGCUUAUGUGUUCAAUGCUGAAACUAGCAGAUCCUGACAGAGUGGUAACUUUAAUAGUGGACUUUGGUUAAAAAAAAAGCUUGGCCCCCUGACUUAGCUCAAUAUGAGUUUAUCCGCAUUGGCAGAUUUGACAGUUUUAUGCUCUAUGUUCAGCCAGUUAGUUGACCAUUACUUUUGGGCAUGCUUUGACAGCGACAAAAACAAGCUGCAGUAUGAUGGCCAUCGAGAAGUGUUUUCAGUUGUCUGCAGCAGACAUCAAAAUAGUUACUCGCAAUGAUUGUAAAGCACAUGUGAUGAAGGGUGAAGCAAAAAAAAACAAAAAACAAAAACUUCUACACCCUGAACAGCUCCAGGAGUUUCUGAGCAGAAAGCACAGAAAAGCAUCUGCACUAGCAAAAUACAUCAGCCACCUCACUUUAGUCAUUCAAAUGAAUAACUUAUGGGAGGCAUUAAGAAAAAUAAGAAAUAUAGCAGGGAUGGCCCAGAGCCUAACAAGAAAACCAGCAAAUUCAUUCAUCUUGAUAACCAGCCUUUCAGUGAAUUAGAAGAUGUAGGUUUUGGCAUGCUAAUACAAAAGCCUGCAUCUUUACUUUGUUUGGUAUUUGGACAGCCAAUUGGAUUGAUUAUUUCUUUUGUUUCUCAACUGCAAACAGUCCCUUUCAAACUUUUGUUCUGAAUAAAAUAUUCAUUUAAAUAAUGUCUUAUCAGCCAAGUAUAUUUUGGCUUUGAAGUUUUGCCUUUCAUCAAAAUUCUGUGUCAAAUGAAAAAUACAUUCAAACACAGUCUUAUCAAUAAAUUCUGCCAUAAAGUCAGACCUCUUUUCAAACCUGCUGACACUAGAACAAAACCCUCGGUGAGCUUUUACAGUACAUGAAUUACUGCCUGAGUUGAAACAAUUAUUGUUCAGAAUUCCUUCCAGGCAUCUGAGUGACAGAUCAACGACUCACUUUAUUGCUGUUAAAGGAGACGUUGGCCAUUAGGUGGAAAAAAGAUUCUUUACUUUUCCCCUCAAGUGGUGCAGCUGAACCACUAUUUGCUGACUUAAUAGAAUCUGCUGUAACUCAUAUAAAAGAAGGCUUUUGUCUUCCUUGUGCCUUAUUAUUAACUUCAUAAUUCAACACAGUAUGGCUGUCAUUCCUUAACACCUUUUUAAAAAGUAGAAGUCGACUGUAAAAUAUUGAAAUGGGAGAAGCAAAUUGAAAAGUUUGGUAGUUGGUUCACGUACAUACCCAUUGGCUCUGUGGAUUUAUCCAGUAUUCUACUUCAUGUUCAUCUCUUUUGGCUUUUGCAGCUCCUUUGAGAUGGGAUUAAAAAUACAUUUGAGAGUUGAGUAAUAGAGAAAUGUGUAUUUUAUUUACUAGCAGAAUCCAGUUGGAGGUUUGCGGAUCACUGUGUCAAAAUCUUGUUUCCUGGUCAUGACUGGAAAAACAAGUCAUUUGAGGCACAUAUAGAGUAAGAUGAUAAACACGCAUGCACAUAUUCACAGAGGCCGUAUACAAAAACACAUAAACACACAUCAUAAAAAAAAAAAGACUCCCGCUGAAAGACCUCCUGAUGAGGUUUAGCACUCUGAGCCAGAAGGCUGGCAGCGUUUUUUCAGACAGGCCCCCGAGCACACUCCAAAAAACCCACUCUCCGGCUCCUGUACAUGAAAUAUGGAACAAAGAUAAAUUAUACACAACACCUGCUCAUUUGACAUGCCAAAAAAACGUGCCUUAUGCGGCGGGACAGGAGCUUCUGUUGCGGCACACCUGUUCCCCAAUGUGACAAGGCAGUGACGCCUCAUUUAUGUGCCCCCGCUGAAUCAUUCUGCCCGCAUGUAUUAUUGAUACAUUUAAUCUUUCAUGUCGCUCAGUGUUUGACCUCUCACUGCAGGCUUCUCAGACAGGGUAUAUCAUACAAUGUAGUCUUUGAUUUGUCAGUGUUUAAUUGCUUUUUACAGAGAUGAAUGUGUUUCAAGAGGGAAGGAUAUUGAUUCAAGGUUGAGUGAGCAGUAAUUCUAUGUCGUAAUUACACUUACAAGACUGUAAGUCACAUGUGCUCGCAGGUGCACUCUAAUUUAAGACCGAUGAAUAGAUUUGACAUUCGAGACAUAUCAGAAGAAAAUGGCAUGGAAGAUGUUUUACAGAAAAAUGUACAAUUCUAAAUUCCAAAGCCAUAUUUAAGCCCCUUUUAUGGCUUUGUAAUGUCUAUCACAGCACAGAGCAAAAGUUUUGGAAGGAAUUUGAUUCUGAAGCGAUCAUGAUGCCAGUGAAACUUUCAUGGCUAACAAGGGAAAUCAGGCUGCAAUACCCUCAUGCUUCCUUCGAAAAAUAAGAUUUAAAAAAGCUUCAACGCAUCAGACACAUUAAUCUAAAGUAAAACAAGGAGAAAAGCUGCAACUGAAAACAUGGCUGGAAAAGCUGCAAUACUUCCAUACUGUAGAUGUAUAACAUAGAAGACGCAAUUUCAAAAAUACACAAACUGAGAAAAGAAAUGCAGCAGAAAAAAAAAUGCAUAUUUAUCAAGGGUAAUAAGCUGUGAUAUGACAAAAGUCAGGGGGAAAAAAGAGAGCACAAAAGAAGAAUAAAAUUGACCCCCCAAAAUGAAUGUAUUUAUUCUUUUGCUCAUUCAUUCAUUCAUUUAUGUAUAGUAUGCACAUUUAACAUCUAACAAAGUUCUUACCCCGUUUUCAGUCACGUUUAAGGCUUUUAAAAACUUUUUUUAGGCCCUCAUAAAUUAAAUUCAAGGUGUCAAAAGUAUCAACAUGUCUCUGUGGACUUCUUUGCCACACCAUAAGACCCUUCAGAAGUGUGUUUUUCUUCAGCUAUCAACAACCUGUAGCGGGCCUCAGCUUCACUGCUUUCUGUUUGUCUAUUACAAGAACUCAUCAAACUUCCAGUUCAUGUUGGAACCAUUGAUUGGCAGAGAGAGUAUGGCGCUCACGCUCCGAUCCUUUGUACCUUACCUGUCAUUCAAAGUUAAAUGAAGUUAUUAUCAAUUCAAUCAAGAAUCCACAGGCUCUGACAGCCUAAUGAUAAUAAUGAUUAAGUCAGAGAGGGUUUCCUGGAGCUAAAGGCAUCAUAAGGUUAAACUUCUCAUGUUAUUCAGAACCAGAUAGUCUGCAGUAGCCCAGUUGCUAGGAGAAGCCGGCAACAGAGCGUUGGAUUAAGUAAAGUAUGAUUCAUCGCUAUAUGAAAAUAACUUUAACUGGAGAGUUCUCUAAUAUUAAAGCAAUAUGAAUCAAACAAUGUUAAAUUACAUUUCAAUAAUCAAUGCAUUUUAAAGGGAACUAAUUUAUCCCACUAUUACAUUUUCUGUUAAGAAUAAAAAAGUAAUUUUUUAGAUCUAAAUUAUGUGAGAACAAGUCAUUUGAUCUCUUAUUUGAUUGACACAUGUUCCAUCUGUUAACAUGAAGGAGGCAGACUGAAAAACAUCUGCAUCUACAGCUGGUGAGAUACAUGUGUGUGGUCCAAUUGUGUUGGCCGUACUUAAAGGGGCUGCUCAGUAUAGGGUUUCUUUGAACCCUGUUAAUACAUAGAAUAUUUCCAGUGUUCCCAACUGUAUCAAAAACAGACAAUAAAUGUUCAGGCUGGAUCAGACUGUAGGCAACCCUUUGAAUGCACCUAACUGACAGUUAUAUUUAACUACUAUACUGUAUCUGAAUACCUGCAUUUGUGCUGUAAAAACAUGCUGUUCCUCUUCCAUCUGCUCCCUCCCUUUAUCCACAUCUCACUGUAAUGUAUGCCCACCGUCUCCUUCUGCCUGUGUGUCCUCACAGUCAUGAUAACAGUUAUUAUCACCCACACAAGGAGGCAUGGCACCCCCCAAGACGGAGACUGCCAAGGUGCACUUCUGAAAGGUCACACAGGAGGGGAGAUGGUGGGGAGGAAGUGAGUCACAGUUGCCCAAAAGCAGGUGGGCAGGUGAGGCAUCAAUAUGAGGUGAAUACAGUUUUUAUAGGUCAACAAGCAUGAUUGCAGGUGUUAAAUAUGAAAGAAGUCAAAGCAAGAUAUGAAUCCAAAGGGUUUAAGGUUGCAGAUGUUCCCAAAACAUCUGUCCACAGUGCGUUGCACAGCGUGACCUUACAGAGGAAGCAAAUGGUGAGACAGGUGAUGUGCAGAGGAAAAUGGCUUAGUGGUGAUGAUGGGCAAGUAGACAGGUGAAGAAAAGCAUAAAAGGUUUAAACAAGAACUACAGAAAGGAUGUAAACAAAUUGAACACUAAGUUUAAUAUUCAAAGAACUGGCAGUGUCUGAAAAUGGAUCAGUUUGUCAAAAAGAAAACUCAUGAUCCCUGAAUUACAUAUUUAGAUAGUUUAGGUAAGAGAUUCUUAUGCCAGAGUUCAUCUUGACAAGUGCGCUGAUGUUCAGCUCUGAACAGCACUCACCAUGACUGGAUAUUGAGGGCCUUGCACUUUGACAAAAUUAAAAAGAUGAAUUUAGAGACUUUUCAGGAGUGCUUUUUAGGAUUUAUUUUAAUUAAAAACAGUUUAUUUGUAUUUGAUCUUAUCUUGGUUUGCUAGUUGUAAAAAAAAUCUCAGUUUAAUUGAAAUAUAUUGAGUGUCCUCUCCAAAUGUUUAAUUUAUUUACAAGCUUGAAAAUCAACUGUUAAUGUUUUGUUGCUUCUAAGUAUCUUAACAAGGACAAUUAUGCUUAUAAUUUUAAAUAUUGCAGUAUUUUUUUUUUUUACAUCAGUGUAUUGGACAUUUUUUCUCCUUGAAUAAACAAACUCAAUAGGUAUAAUUUUACCUGUUUAAUUGUGUAUAUUUCAAGUGUACAUGUCUUUUAUUUAGAAGAUAGAUCAGUGGAUAUUAUGGACCUGGGCAACUCUCUUCCAAGACUACAGCCUCUGUGUACAUCAGGUAGUUUAACCAUUUGGCCAAACCAACAUUCCUUAAAUAAUUAUAUUUACAUAAUUUUAAUAUCUGAAUCUACUGCCUAUUAUCUGAUUAUAUAUCGAAGAAACUGCAAAUGUGUGCUGGUGCAUAACACCAGUACCACAUCCUUUUUGGCUGCCCAAAUAUACCACUAGUCAUUUUUAUCUAUUUAUUCAUUUUAUCCAUGUAAGAACACAAACACAGUCAACAAACCAGACUAAUUCUCUUUGCUCUCUGCCUGAUAAUCUGCAGGUAGAGCAUAUAUUUGAUUGCAGUGUCUUAUACUAAAUAAGAACCCUUUGUGUAGCCCUGUUGUCUAAGCAGCUGAUUGUUUAGUUGAUAGUUGAUGGUUGUUAUUCUGAUUCUUGUGAAAUAAUACAUCAUUAACCACCCUGAUCUACACAAAGAUAACCUAGUGUGAUAAUAUAACCAUUGUUAUACUUAGGCAUGAUUGUAAAAUGUGCUGCUUGUGAAUGCUGUCAAAGGCACAGACACAUACAGCAAAAAAAAAAGAUGGAGCCUAGGGGGACAUGCUAAAAUCCAUUGGCGAACAGAGAACAAUUAUGAAAGAAUUUAACCCGAUAAUGGUAUAAGCAUAUACAGACUGAUGGCAUAUGGAUGUGUUUGUAUAGAUAUAUUUAUAGAUUUUCAAUAUAGCUUCCCCCCUUUCAACCACCAUCUCCCCUGCCACAGAUAAAACAGGAACAAUGAAUACCACCUGGACUAAAUACAAAAAUAAGAAUCUGGUUCUGCAACCCAGUCCCAUGGUUACCUACUGUAAAUAGAGAUUAGUUCUUGGCUCAACACACCGGGUUCAUAUCUGUCUUGACCUCCUGUGCUGUUGGCAAAAACAAACUCUUUUUAAUUAAUUGAAUAAAACCAUUUGCUAGUAAUAUUAUGCACUAUUUUCUGAAUUCAAAGACAAAACGUUUUGGCACUUGUUCAUUUAUUAGCAGUUAAACUUCAACUCACAUUUACACCAAGAUGUCACUUGUAGUAAGACAAAAAUAAGUGACACAGUCUUCACUUUCUCUUGCCACUUCUGGUUUGGCUCCAUAGUCAUUUAAAUACAGAUGAAUAUAAAGAUACAUGUAUUGAUAGUACAUGGCAGGUUUAAGGGAUUAACUGAGAGCAGUGAGGACAUGACAGGAGGAUGAAGAGUGAAGUGAAGUAAAUAUUCAGUGCACAAGCUCUCAAUGUAGUGUCAACAGCUUAUAGAUAAGAUAGACCACCAGGGGAGACUGCCUCCAGCCAUACACUUGAUAUUGAACUAUUAAAACAAAGAGCCUCUGUUUGAGAGUUGAUUAGAUUUGAGUAGCUAUUGAGGUGAAAUUAUACGAUCAUCAAAUACAGUUUAUGACCAUCAAGCUCAUUGAUUUCCGUUAUGAAAAGCACUAAACAAGACUCGCGUGAGUGGGCGUCUGCUGCUCUGCAUAAAAUUCCCACACUGCAGUAGUGGAAGUAAAAGACAUUAGGGAGACAUUAUGAUUUACCUCUUGCUGUGAAAUGAAUAAAAGACCAACUCAUUAAGUAGAAAAUGUGGAAAUGCUGUUGCUGGCUGCUAAACAGACGGGUUCAGGGAGUUUACAGCACUCCCCAAAUGGCCUUUGAGGAUUGUUUAAGUGUCAGCAUUUGCUGGUCAAUAUGAUGCAUGUAGAACUAACGUUGAAUUGAAGAAAAUGUUGAAUCAGACAAAGUGACAGAGUUUUACAAAGUGACAGAGGUGCAUUACAGGAGUGAUUGAAUAAAGUGAGAAAAAAGCAUUCAAUCCAUUUACGCUUGUACAGAUCGGCUGCCACUUUGCUAAAUGCAAUUAGGCCCAUCCACUCUGUCCAAGUGACACCCCGAAGGCCUUUUAAGAAGUCAGCACAAAUAGAUCUCUGGGUUAAAGACAAAAGAUGGAGGAGGGAGGGGUAAGGUAUAGACAGAAGAGGGCCCUCCUCUCCCACUGAGCUUGUGUGCAUGAGAGAGAUAGGCCAGAAUGAAAGAGGGACUAUCCACACAUCCCCAUAUAGGAAUCAGUAUUGUUUACCCCCCAACAGGGAAGCAGGGAGAAUGAAAACAGGAGUGCUCAUAAAUCAUACUUCACCAUUUUCAGCCCUCUCUCCAUCUUCAUCUCCCUCCCUCCAGUCUGUCUCAAGCUUUCUGGUUCUCAGAGGAUAAGAGGAUGUAUGGGAGUAUUGAAAGAGUGAAGAGCCCUUCAGAUUUGUGUUGGGUUAUCGUUCUUUUGUGAAGUUCCUCAUGAGAUCAAUAGCAUCUCUUGAAGGGGGCGAGCAGGCAUCCUAAGCUAGCCAAGCGUUUCCCACACUUUGAAGUAAAAGUGCUCUAACAAUCCCCGUUUAUUUCAUUUUUUUAUCUUCUCAUCUCAGAGGAGCUCUUUUUUGUUUUGGCUCUGGUUGUUAUCUGUUUUUGAAAUGAUUCACCUUGAACCCCUGGUUUUCCAUCUAUCACCCAACACAAAGGGUUACAGCUUGAACCAUGUCUGUAAAGUUCCAUUGAAGUUCUGUACUUUUUUGUAGUUCCAUGGCUCUCAUCCAUCCCCUUCACUUUUUCUGCAAUGCCUUUGUCUUCCAUGAGUACUUUGUGUUCAACAGAUGGGGCAGGAAAGAUCAGAUUCCACAAAAGCAUUUGACUGAUUUAUCACAAAUACUAUUAUUCAAAGUUCUAUAAGGAGCUAUAAAAACAGUCAAAAACUCAUUUAAAAUUAAAGGGACAUCCCAGCGUAAAAUUAAUUAAGGGUCAAACACAGCAUAACACCGAGUUUAACACCCUGUCGAGAGAUAAUUGUUGCCGACUGCUUGCUUCUUUAGUUAUACCAACUUCAGCAACAACUGCAGGAUAGCAAUACACAGCAGUCUACGUCCACCAUGCGUAAACCUCGAUCAAAAAGCCUCUCUGUAGCCACAAAUAAUGCUCAGAACAGCACCUAACUUUAUCAACAGUACAUAUAGGGUACCAGCCAUAGCAGUAGCCACCAAACAUCUCUUUAACUUUGCCUGAUUUCUUUAGCAAAGAGACUGAAGACAACUCAUCCACUCUCCUCACGCAGCCACUUGUUUGUGGGGGAGCCCUGACGAGUCGAUCACUGAGUGCAUCCAAAUUUUGCAUCUCAAGGAAAAACAUUUAUGGUUAUUACUCCAUGGAAAUGCAAUCAGAGUUCUUGUGUUUCCUGUAUGUGCACUGCAUAUGCGGUAGUUCUUCUGCCUUAGCGUCUCAGUCUGAUUGCAUUAGCAUUAAGUUGUAAUCAUAAAAUUGCCGCUGCACUUGGUGAUCGACUUGGCAACUCGUUACGGUGUUUGACCAUAACUUAAAUUUAUGCCGGAAUAUCCCUUUAAUGGAUAAGAAUCGUGUAGGUCCAGAGGGAAUAUCUGGUAAACUUAAGUGGUCUACAGCAUUGAUGGCAUAGCAGAGAGAAAAAGCAGUUUGUUGGAUCAUGUCAAGGUCUGCCAGUUUCAUUGAAAGCCGUCUUCAGACAACAAGGUAGAGAAGAGUCCAAGGGUGUGGGAACAUCAUAAUGAGAGCUUCCAGUGGUGAACUUUGAAGAUAAUCAAGUCUGUACAGUUCAUUUCUAUAGAAAAAAAAGCAUAACAAAGUGCCAGCAAUAAGCUUUUCCAUGCCCCAUGCAAUUCACCAUCUUAUUUAGCUAGGCUUAGGCUUUCUAACAGGGUAAUUUAUUACAUUCAGCCUUGUUGUCAAACUCACCUUGAGAUUUUUGUUGGAAGGAUCCUUGAAAAUAUUCCCAAAUAUGAAUCAAAUGAAAUGGCAGUCGAACCCUUAGCCAUAAAAAGAAAUCUUGAAAAAAAAAGUAUCAUCUUAAAAAAUCAGUUUUUUAUGCAGCCAGAAUUUUUUGGUGGACCCCUUUUCCUCUCAUGAAUAACUCUGGUAGAGCCACAUUUUCUCAGUGUUCUUUUAAAACUUCCUCUUCACAAGCCAUUUCUGCUAGUCUUGCUACUUUUUCUUCGACAAUACUUGUAUGUGGAUACUACAUCACCUGACCUGCACUGUACCCUCACUUUGUCACAGGAGCUUCCUUUUUUCUCCGAGUGCACCGGCUUCCCUGACCUGACUGCAUCAAAUUCUUAGUCUUUGUAUUUUUUGAGGCUUCAUGGCAGGGAGCUUUAGUCACUUGCACUUACACUAGCUUAAGCACAGCAUCAUGCAUAUCACCCCACUGAUCAUGUGAGAGAGUGUGUGUGUGUUUUCCUGUGGACCAGUAGGUGGCUGGAAGUCUCUUGUGUGAAACCAUAAAGCAAGUUUUGAAAAAUGUAACACUCCCUCUUGAGUGGCUUCUACCCUUCAUCCAUGUCAACACCGCACUUUCAAUUUGAUUCAGUCUGUAGCACAGCUGUCUGUCAUGGUGGUGAGCUCAGGACUGUGAGACUGUCAAAUCAAGGCUCUAGAGAGGAAGUAAAAAGUUGCUGGUAGUCUGUCUCCAUGACACCUGUAACACCAAUGCUGUGAUCCAGAUCACAUGCUGGAUCCAGCUCCAGUGAGACAAAUUUUAGAGUUGGGUGCAGUCAGAGGGAAAAAAACAUUUUGUGCUGUCUUGCUGCUAUAAUUGGACAUAGUUGGAGAUAAAACUGGAUGUUUUGGCAGAAAAACAUCUUUACUGCAUGCAGGCACAGAAGAGACCUCAGUCUGUGUAUCCUUAUAGUUUAACAAAAACCUACACUGUAUGUGGAGGGUGUAUUCAUUCCUGUUAAUCAGAGGGUUAAAUGCCAAUUAAGUUUACCUUUCCCUUUACUUGAGGACAGAUCAUUUGCUAGUUUACAUGUGUUUUUAUAUAUAAUAAAACACAGUAAAUGCAGUAUUUAUGUAAAAAUCUACUUAAGCAAGAAAUCAACCGGGCUUUAUUAUUCAUUCUCUCUUCAUUCUUUAAAAAGUCUAUAAUAGUACUGAGUUAUAGUCCUGACGAGUCGAUCACUGAGUGCAGUGGAGUUUCGCAGCCCAAGGAAGAACAUUUAUGAUUAUUACUUCACGGAAAUUCAAUCAGAGUUAUUGUGUAUCUUGCAUGUGCACUGCAGACGUGGUAGUUCUUCUGCCUUGGCGUCUCAGUCUGAUUGCAUUUCCAUGAAGUAAUAAUCAUUAAUUUUCCACUGCACUUGGUGAUCAUCUUGUCAGGGUUCCCCCACAGACAAGCAGCAGCUGGAGGAGAGAGGGUGAGUUGUGUUUGGUCUCUUUGCUAAAGAAAUUAGGCAAAGCUAAAAAGAUGUUUGGUGGCUAGUGCUAUGGCUGGGACCUUAUAUGUACUGUUGAUGAAGUUAGGUGCUGUUCUGAGCAUUAUUUGUGGCUGUAGAGUGCCGUUUUGGUUGAGGUUAGUGCAUGGAGAUGUAGACCACUGUGUAUUGCUAUUCUGUGGUUGUUACUAAAGUUGGUAUAACUAGGGAAGCAAGCGGUCGGCAAAAUUAAUCUCUCCGAGGGGUGUCUGUGGUACGGUGUGUUUGAACCUAACUUAAAUUUAUGCCGGACUAUCCCUUUAAGUAGUAAACAUAAAUUUGGUUUAUUAUUUUUUCCCCUUUUUCAUCUAUUUCUUGUUUUCACAAACCAGAUUUUCAUAUCCACUGACUUUUAAUCACCUCGGCGCAGUGUGCAGCCAGACUUGGCGGUGAGAUGAGAAACAGCUACAAAUGUCUGCAAAUGUAAAACUAACAGCAGUCACAUCAUGUUUUAAAACACCUUGCAUGUUUUCUGCAGCUUUGCUGUAGGACAGACAGUAGGACAUACACAGAUCCAAAAGACAACAACAACUUUCAUUCCCUAUCAUGAAGAAAGUUGGCUCUAGUUGUCCAAAGUGAUGAUUUGAACCCCUUGUCUCUGCUAUUGUUUGGCUUUUUCUCUCUCCAUCCUCUCUCUUAGUUGGAUUUCAUCGUGUGUUCAGUUUUCAGAUGUCAAAAUUGGUAUACAAAACAACUGUACUGCUACCACCUCAAAAAUCCUAUUGCAUCUGACUUUUGGACUCUUUGUUUCUAUCUAGUUUGUGAUAUUUUCACACUGCUGACAUUUUUGCCUCAGAGUUGCUCAUGCUAAUAUCUUGUGUUUAUGCUUUGUCUUUGAACCACAUGCCCUGGAGAGUUACUGUAGACUGCCAUAAAGUGUUUUUUGUUGUUGUUGCUGUUGUUGUCUGGAUGUCUGGGCAUGUGUCGUCUUGCAAUUAAGUUCAAGCCGUUGCUUCAGCUCCACCUAUUAUCAUAUACAGUAUCUAAGCGCAGUGAGGCAAACCCACAACACUCAGUUGCGCUAAUUAACUUGUACUUGCGUUCUUAGCAAAUUGUGCAUGUGACGACUGACAUCGAUGAUCAGAUGAGAUAAUAAAGGCUCACAUUAUCAAUCACCAAUCGAUAAGAAAAUGCCAAGCUCAGCCCUGUUCUGAUAGUUAGGAUAGUAGUGUUCCAAUAGUUAGGGUCAGGAUGUUCCUAUGUUCCUGCAAUCAUCAACUUACAUUUCCUAACACUACCAAGCAGCUCUGUCAGCUUUGCUAUCAGGAGUAUUAAAGCAAGGUGAAACACCAUAAAGAAGACAUGCUGACACGAGCUGAGCCUCACAGGCAACACUUCCUCUGCAGCCUCCUACCAAGAUUGGCAGACCCGAAAGCCCCAACAAUGACCGUAAUCCUAACCUGUGAGUAAGCACUGCCGGAGAGGCUCAAAUCCCUUCACUGAGCUAGUCUCUUAACAGGGCUCUGUUCCUGUUAAAUUUUACUGAAACUCCUUGGGGGGGAGUCCCGACCCAUUUCCACCCCUGCUCAUAAAGAAAAAAAGACAGAGGCUUAAAAAAUGGAAGCACAGAGCAGAAAAAGGACAGCAGGAUGGAGCAAAAUACUGCAUUUUCACCACGGGGCUGUACAUCCUGUAAUUUAGACAGGAAUUAACACAUUGGGAGGUACAAAUGACAAAAUUGCACAAUAAUCAAAUGACGUUAAGUAGUGUAAUGAUGCUUUUCAAGUACCAGAUGCUUCACAUAAUAAACCAUUUCCAUUUAUUGCUAUGUUCCAAUUUGUUUCCUCUGAAGGAAACAGUAUUAAGCACUGUAAACGUAUGGAUUAAGUAUUUUGACAUAUGUACUUAUCAGUAAUAUCCAGGUUUAAUGAGAUAGGCCGCGGAUAUUCGAGAGAAAACAAAUCUGUGAUGAAUUAGAGCGUGUAUUUACUCUUCCCUUCGUGCAAUUAGUUUCAUUUGUGUCUGCAAACAAGCCUACUUGUUCAUACGUAUCUACAUGCCUGUGUGUAUGUACCAGACAUGCAUAUCCAAACAUCCCUGAGAAUUAUUUGUGUUGAGCUAUCAGCCAGAUGCAAGAUGUCUCUCAGGCCUAACCUCGAGUGACGGCCUGCGCUCGCUGCCAGACUAAUAAACUUAAUGGACUCAUGGCUAACCUGAGAUGAGUUCAUCAGGUGGCUUCAUUUCACGCUGGCAUUUGAAACUCCUCAUAUUUAUGCAAAUUGGCAAUGCAGACAAGGGCCAAGGCCAAGUAUUGCAAGUAAGGAACCAUCGUACAGAAUGACUUGUUCCUACCUGUAUUAUUUUAGGUAAGACAGGCAUUAUUACUGAAAAAACUUGGGUAACACUUAACUUAACAACUAUCUCUGUAACACAGUAUAAAUAUAUGCAUGAUGCGUUAUAAUCACGUUAUAGCACUGCAUAAGUACAGUUAUAAACACUCAUAAAUGAUCAUAAUGAUUUAUAGCAAUAAUCAUAACACAUUAUAAAGCAUUUUAUCAUGACUUACAAGGUCAGGUAUUAUAAUGUGUUAUAACUGUUAACAACUCACUGACAAUGCCCCCAUUGAUAAUUCAUUAUAUAUAUUUAUGAUGUUAUAAUUAGCUUAUAAACUUGUAUAACUAUAGUUAUAAACACUCAUAAAUGAUCAUAAUGCUUUAUAGCAAUAAUCAUAACACAUAAUAAAGCAUUUCAUCAUGACUUACAAGGUCAGGUAUUAUAAUGUGUCAUGCUUAUUGUUAUAAAGCCUUAUGAUAAUUAAUGAGUGUUUAUAAUGAUAGUUUUACAAGUUUAUUAGCAAAUUAUAACACAUCAUAAAUAUAUGUACAAUGUAUUAUUUAUGUGGGCAUUCUCAGUGAGUUGUUAACAGUUAUAACACAUUAGAAUACCUGACUGUGUAAGUUAUGAUAAAUGCUUUAUAAUGUGCUAUGAUUAUUGCUAUAAAUCAUUAUGAUCAUUUAUGAGUAUCUAUAACUACAGUUAUACAGUGCUAUAAUGUCUGUAUAACACAUUAUACAUAUUUAUAAUGUGUUAUGGAGAUAGGGGUCAAGUAAAGUGUUGCCAAAACUUGUUAUGUGAUUAUGUUUAAAUAUAGUCUGCUGUAUGUUAUUGAACACACUAGUAAAACAGUAAGUUUUAUAGGCUAUUUUAUGUGUGUGAUUCACUGGUUCACUGUCACUGGUUAUGUCUAGGCACUGCUGUUUUAUCAAAGCAGUGUUUUAUUUCUCAGACGGAGUUUGGGGCACUUGGUGUUCUGCUAUUUCCUGGAGUAUUUGUCCUGCUUUCUAACAAAGUUUGGCUGCAAGAUGAUGUCACCCAUCAUGACUCAUUGAUUCUCACGAAUUCACCUUGCUCAACCUUUUUCAGCUCCUCACAAAGCAGUAACUAUAUUUAGGCAUGCUUCUCUCUGGGUUUAAGACACACACAAAAGAUGAGCUGUAUUUAUUCCUAUAUAAUUAUGUCUGUUUGGCAUUUCGGAAGAUCAACACAAGCCCUCAUUCAGAAGGAGAGACUGGACUGCUGUAAAGCCAUAAUAAAUCAGUAUAAACCUUAUUGAUUUUUCAUGAUAUAUAAACACUACUGCAGGAUCCGCCACUAACACUGCACUGCUCUUAUUUAAAUCACACUUUGGUCCUUAAAUACAGCUCAGAUCUGAGCCAAUCAGAGAGACACUUGUGGUGGAGAGUCUGCAAAUCUGCAGCCAUCUAAAGGGCACAGCAGAGACAGAUGUUGGAGCCGCCUAUGCUGCUGAGGCUGCUGCUUCUGCUUGCAGACACUGCAGCUGUUAAAAUGGCUCUGCCAAGAUUAUCAUACCCCCCACUAAGACACACACACACACACACACACACACACACUUGCACACAUAGUCUGUCUUAUAGUUGUUAUGUUGAGUUCUUGCACUAUUCAUGGUUUUCAGCAAGCACUUGCUUUUCCUUCUCUGUUUGGUAUCCUGUUUACAUCUCUGUUGAGUUCCUAUUGAUUCUCCUGCCUUCUACUGCGUGUUUUUAAACCUUCACCAGGCUCUCAAUUUAAAUCUGAAUCAACCCUCUUGCAUGUGUACAUUUAAGUGAGGUACAUUUUUUAAAAAUCCAUAUAUCUGUAUUUCUUCUCUCCAUCUCACAUCUUCUCCCGGUCCUCCUUAUUCCCUCUCUUACCUUACACUCCUUCAUCCAACGGCUUCAUUUCUCUGCAGGAUGGAUCCUCUCCGCCUGCUGCCGGCUGGAAAAUAAAUUGCUCCACAAAAGCCCAAGCAGCUCAUGAAAAACCCACCUCUGCCCAGCUUAAUCAAUAGCAAAGCCUCUAAUUAAACGCUCCUUCAGUUUCAUAUGCUCAUACUCCUCAACCUGUAAUUUUCUGUCCAUUUUAAGCGCUCAAGCUAAUCUUUGCCUGCUUUCACCAGCAGGUCAAAAUUAGAUUUCAUUUUUUACCCCCCUCCUCUUUUUACCCACACUUCUCCACCUCAGUUGCACAUGAAUGUCAAGCAGCACUGUGGGUUUGGGGAUCGCAAGAGGCGAUCAUAGAUUUAGAGCUCACAAUUAUGUCAAAGGGCUGGUAAAAAAUUAAUGAAAUGCCAAGUCCUAAGAGACCUUAAACCCCACCUCACCCAUCAUUUACAUAAAUUAAUUUCAGUCAGUAUAUUUCUUUAUAGACAGAUCCAUAUUGGUGCGGUCACAUAUCAUAGAUUUUCACACAGGGCUAAAGCGCUUGUAAAACAUAGAACUGAGCGCUAGUUGUUUAUUCCCGUGUGUCACAGCUUUUCAUGCUUUUCACAGUGACAUCACUCGAAGCCAGUCUGCAGGCAACAGCCACAUCAGUCAAUCUGUGUUUCCAGCGCAUAUGGCCUUGUUGCUAUAAAUCAUCCACUGUGUUUUUUUCAUGCCCACCAGAGGUAAUUGGCAGCUUUUUGUGUAACUUCAAAAGGAAUGGGUGGAAAAAAAUAAUAAGAUGGAUAUAGCGAAAGGUCAGAACAGUAGGUGGGUUUCUCGCUGACAGCUUGCACUGAUGCUGUGACAGAGGAGGUACAGUUGCUACCAAGAACAGAGACAGUGUAGGCCUGGACGAUAUAGAAAAAAAGCAUAUCGAUAAAAAAUAAAUCAUAUUGAUCGAUAUCGAUAAUUAUCGAUAUGAUUAUUAUAAUUAUUUAACAUAUAUUUUAAUUGCAGCCCUGGAUGUUUUUAUGCUAUUGCUUAAUGACCUACUUUUAAUAAAGAACACACAAGCACUGAAUUCAAAUUCAAACCUUUAUUCAACCACCUUUUUUUUUUUUUACCACAACUGAAAGUUUUUUAAAAAAGAACUAAAAAAGAAAUCAACUUAAGUGGCCUGAGUGACAUCAGUAAAUACUGACAAACAUAAAGACUAAAGUGACCAGAAAAUCUGAUAAAUAAAUAUUUAAAUAGUCUUUUGAUGAAAAUAAACAAAACAAACAAAUAUAUAAAUAAACAGAAUAGCUUUAGGUGGGAAUAGCAUACUACCAGGUUUAACUGUGUGGGAAACUGCCCACAGCCUGGUGUCUGAACACUAAAAUAUUUCUCCCGGGGUCGGGAGAUUUAUUUUUUUUUAAUUAUCAUGUGAUUGACUUAAUACACAAACUAAGCACGAGAAGCAGGACUUAUCCACGCCGGUGUUGUGUCGUAGAAUGCACCCCUGCCGAAUGCACCCCCUGCUAGUAGCCAUGAUCCAAAUACUCGCGUCUUUGUAAAAUAUGAGCUCAUUUUCUUCCACUUUAAGAAGCUAAUGAGUGGACGGGAUACAGGGGUGCAUUCUACGGUACAACACCGGAACGUAUUUCCUCCGCACCCUUCUCACCUUUUCAACCCCUGACCCAUUUUCAUGCCUGAAGCGCUGUGUUUGAGAAAUACUUGCGGCCGGGCACUUCAUAUCGCGGGUCGAGAGUGGCUAGAAGCUGGUCGAAGCCAGGCUUUUCAACGGUAGUUAUUGGCAGUAUGUCCCUCGCUAUGAAGCAUCUUACUGCAUGGGUGAUGUCCUUAUGCCGCUCGAACGCUUUGUCGUAUUUUGGCAAGAAACGAAGUCCAGUUUGGUCUGCUUCACAUGCUUUGUGCUGGUACUGGCAGCGGUUCCAGAGGAUUCCUCCGACGACGACGUGGAGCCGCGGCGCGGCCGACACAGCUCGUACUCCUGCGGCUGCGAUCGGUUUAGAUGGUAAAACAAGUUGGUUGUGUUACCAGACUUGGUUUUUACUAAUUCUCUGCAAAUUUUGCAAACGACCGCUGUUCGCUUUUUGUCAGACUUCUAAAAACCAAAACAUUGCCAUGCUGGUGAACUACUGAAACCUUUUUUCGGGACAAUGUCCUCCGCUUCUCCUUGCUGUAUCAUUUUUUCUAAUACACGUGCUGUCUGUUGUGGUUUGAGAGGGGCUGGGCUUGGUGCCGUAGCGUACCUGGGUCUGCGUUUGUGAUUGGUUGGGAGGAAGUAAUGACUGUAGUAAAAGCUACAUGAUAGGCUAUGAUGAAAAAGAAAGGGAAACUGUGUUUUUCUAUCGAACUUUUUAUCGACCCGUUUUUUUUCUAUCGUACCACACGUCUAUCGAUCGAUAUAUAUUGUUAUCGAAUUAUCGUCCAGCACUAAGACAGUGUCAUGAUAAAUUGCACUCUUGAAUUGUUUGGCAUUUGUGGCAGAUGUGAAACAGGACAGCACAGGGAUGAUUGAAGAUGUGAUGAUGGUAAAGAUUGGUGCAAGACAUCAGCCUUAAACAUCCCCCUCAGCUGACACUCCUGAUAUCCCUGCUUUAUGUAACAACCCCAUGCAAUGGAAAUGCUUCUUUACAACAUGGUUACCUACAAGACUUCCCAUGUUAUAAUCUUACCUAUUGGUCCACAUUUUUUUAAUCUGGCUGUGUAAGUAGUCCUAAAUCUUUGGCCUUUGCAGAGCAGAUAAAACUUGAUGAAUGUUGGGGUGACUCCUUCGGCCUCGGCUGAUUAAUAACUGUUUAAUCAGGGUUUAGUCGCUAACAGCUGUGGACAUCCUUCUCCUCAUUUAUUUAGCACAGACACGUCAGUCAAUUUCUCCUUGCAUUUACCAGCUUUACAGCCCUUUUCUCUGCCCCUAUUUCUUUACAGUUGUAAAUUAUCCCUUAAAAUUCAUGUCACAGAAGACAGUGAAGGAGUCUGGACUGGCCUUAAGCCUCCUCACAAAUACCUGUACUAGCUGCGUUUACAUAGGCACAAAUAAUGGGAAUAAAUGCUCGAUUGGAAUAAAAAAGCGUCAUGUAAAUACGUUGAUCGAAAGUUUCUGAUCCAAUUUGGCUUGAUCGGAAAGAAAUUGUACUCUGAUUGAGAGGGGUGGUUUAGGCCGAUCGUUAUUCCGAAACGCGUCCAUGUAAACACUUAUUCCGAUUGUGACUCUCUUACCUGACUUGAUCUUCACUCUUUAGCCUUUGGCUUAUUUAUUGAGGCCAGUUCAGGAGGUUUCAUUAUUAACACUCCAGCAUAAAACACAACCGCAGGUUCCUAAUCUGCUCCUCCGAAAUAAGUAUGGAAGGGCGCCAUAUAUUGACAACAUUUAACAGGGGUAAAAGUCCUGGAUUGGAUGGAGUGACCCACUACCAUGUUUGUUGGUUUGCUGACAGCACAGGCGUAAAUACAACUCUUCCUCUGUGGUUGUUUUAGCGAAAUUAGACAAACUCUGCGCAUGUCCAAAUGCUACUAAUCUGAAUAAAACUUGGUGCAUGUGUACGCACAUCAUGAUUGGAUUAUUUGACUUUGCGCCCAUAAAAACAGUGGAUUCAGAUUAUCCAAUCCCUCAAAUUUUUAAUCGGGUCAACAGGUUUUGCACAUGUGAAAGGCUAAUGUGCCCACUUAUCCGUCAAUAUGGUCAUACUAAUAAUUAUGUAAAUUUAUGCAUAACUCUGGUCUGUAUGUGAUCAAAAUGGCUGCAUUAAAAGAAAGACAUAAACAUAUAGAGAAAUAAGAAACAGACCAAUACCUCUUUUUGUAUACGAGUGUAAACACGUUUGUUUCUGUUGCAGGAAUGAGCAAUUUGGAGUAAAAAAAAAAAAAAAGGAACUACUGGGAAUUCCUUUUCUUCCACAGCCAACCUUGAGUGAGCUUUCCAGGAACUGCAGUUCUUGCACUUCCAUGUUGACUUCACUUAGAGGUUGUGUUUGAAAACGUGUAUUCAUAUAUCAGGGCAAAUGAUAUAUGAAAAAAGGUUAGCACUCUUGUGGCUGUGAGUAAAGCAUGAAGGUGGAGACAGGAGUCUGCCAGCUUAGUCACAGACUUAGGGGAAAUGGUGAGCUUGCUUGUUCACGUCUUACUAAAGAAAACUCUUCAGUGUCAUUUAAGGUUCCUGUAAAUACAAGAAUAUGCAAAUACAAGCAAAAAAAAAAUAACUGAAAGUUCUGGGGUGCUUUUGGUUGAAAAGCACCUUUCAAUUUUAAAAUGUGUUUAUGCAAACCUGAAAGAAAGGCGAGGAUUUAUGGUAAAAUCUCUCUUCUUAACAAAAAUGGCACAAAAAAGAAAAAUGGAUCUUCUCAGUCACUCAGUCAUGUAAUACUGUCUUUUUCAUACUGAAGUCUUUAUCCAGCCACUGGGCCAUCUAAGUAUACCCACUUUUUCAUUUCCCUGAGGGAAUCUUCCCAAAAGGAUCAAUAAAGUUCUAUCUAAUCUAAUCUAAUCUAGACUGACAGAAGUCCAAAUGUCAGUGCGAAAACGUACCCACUUCUGACCUUGCUGUCAAUGUUUGGAGGUUACAUCAUACAGGUCUGAUGGGGACACUCGCAAUGUAGCAGUGACUCAAAACCUGUUCCAAGUCCACUGUUAGCUGGAGAAAACCUUGGACUUCUACCUCAAAAAAAAAAAAAAAAAAGGUGGGACAUCAAGGCAGGGCUCCAGACUAACUUUUCUUACUUAGAGCACAGUGGCCCCUAUCUUCAGGGGUGUAAGCAGAAAAUUAAGGAGCGCACACCGGAAACAACUUACAAUGUUUUUCUAUCAUAUAUACUGUGUUACUGAUAAAUACUUUGACAAUAAAUGCAGAAACUACAAGCUCAUAAACUCAUAUUUUAUUGUGCAUUGGUUUUGACAACAGAAACAAGUUAUACAGCUUACUAAUACAUCUCCCUGAAAUACCUCAGCCAAGUGAACUCGCGCAGCCACUUACCAUAAAAGUUGAAUUUCCUGGAUUUUUUCAACACCACCGUUUCCUCACAAUCUGAGUCGGACUCAUUCUCAAGAUUUGUCUCCUCAGAAAAAUUAUUUUUACUGGGAAGAAAAUCUGGAGUAAUAAUCCCUUUUGCUGCCGCUGUCCAUUGUUUACAAAGAAUACCAUUAUGUGAAAUCUGUGGAUUUGCGCAAUAACCCCAAAGAGCCGCCUCCUAGCCUAUCACAGUCGUCAAAAAUUGGCAAAAUUACUAUUUGCGCGUGCGCAAGUAGAUGAAAAAUUUACUCGCACUGUCUUGGAUUAUAGUCCAAAAAUGCAACUAUUUGGUCGCAGUCUGGAGCCCAGCAAGGGCUGUAAAGUCAAGCACUCUGCUUUUUAUUUAUUUAUUUUUUUUUUAUUGCAUGCUGCUAUCAGCUGUUUUGCUGUGUUUUUACUUAUUAAUAAGUGAAAUUUGCAGUAUGAAAUCACCAUCAUUGGCUGAUGUACAGUAUAUUCUGUACCCGUGCUUUGAAGUGUUCAUAAAACCCACAGACUGUAUUUGUGUUGCCUUGUUUACAGAACAGGAGGGACACAUACCUCACGUUAAAGGUGGAGUCAUUAGUUGAGAAGUAAAUCUUCUCCUCAAUUGUCUCUAAGUGUUAAAGUCCUGCUGUCACUGGUUUGUUUUAUCUGCCUCUUCAAUGUGACUGGCAAUGAAAACAAAGGGGAAUAGUGGCAUUCACACUGGUUUCCUCAUUAGCAGUGAAUAAACAGUCUUUAUCUUUAAAACAUUUGGCUUUUAUACACUCACAUCUGUGACUUUACAGCCAGCGUUUAACUAAAGGCCAUUACACAGUUUAGAUGGUGUUUAGCUGCACACUCAGGGGGCUUGUUGAGAGUAAAUGAUUGAAAAGUUUUUGCUUUAGUUAUGAAACGCUAUGGCUCAAGAUAUUAAUUAAACUCUACCAAUAUUUCCCAUUAUUAUCGGACUUGAUCUAAUUCACAAAGCAAAAUCGAUCAGAUCGAACAUGGCUGGGGGGUCUCUCUUUGAGGAGUUGUUCCUCACUUUAUCUUAUCCUGAUUUCUUCAUGCGUUAUUAUUCUCUUCAUCUGCAUUCAUAUCACAUCACCUGGAUGUUUGAGCAGCCUUAAAGUCAACUGAGGUUUUCCAGAAAAUUAACAUUUCUUUGCCCACAGCAUCUUAAAUUCCCCAGUAGUAGUUAGAAAUAAAGUUUUCGAUUGUCCGUGAUGGUCUGGAGAUUUUAGCCCUGAACCAGACAGCAAUUAUAUUUUUUGAAAAAGUCAAGGAAAGAAAAUAAAGUUGGUAAUCUCAACUACAGUCAGACUGGAAUAGACUUAGUCCCUGUUGCAGCUGUUGCUGCUUGUUGUAUGUGUGUGCAUCUUUUUUUUCCUUUGGCAAUCUGCAAUCUGCAGGGACGCUAGAGGAGCUAACUCUGAAAGGUUUUGCCCGAAGAUAAAUCGGGUAACCUUCUUCUGUCAUUAGUAAUACCUUUUCCACCAGUGAACAGUACGACAGAGCAGGCAGAGGGGGCUGACGGAGGGAAGAAGAAGCAGAGGGGGGUGCAGGGGAAGGGGAUGAGAGCCAGGAGUCAGCGGUAAUUAGCCAUGAAACAAAAGCCCACUCGGCUCAGUUAUGGCUCAGGUUUCACACCUUGAGCCAUCUCUCGCUGUCUCCAAGGCUCAGAGCUCAGUGAGGCUGCGGCUGCUUCUGCUGCUUCCACUGCUGUGAGGUGUCCAGCUGAAAUACAGGGCAGACCUGCAGUAGCCCCAUCCUGGCCCCCGUCUUCAAUCCAUCACACAGCCUCCAAACUUCUGUAUCAUUGUGGCCGACUGGCAGGGAGGUGCUUUGUCUGGCUGACUUGUUGUGUCUGUGUGGGGCACAUGAGUAUUGAUCUGACCGGAGUUAGGAGCAGCUCCACAGCCAAAACAAGAAAAGUUCUAUCUUUGCACUUUUUGCCAAGAGUUAGAGGGUUGGAUUGACACAUAAAAUAAUGUGGAGAAUUGACCUGAAUUAGACACUAAAAAUUGAUCAGCCAAAUCAAAGCAAGCUCAGAAUAUGCAUAUGAUCAAAUCUGCAGAUACCACUUUUCUGUGUGAUGCUGCAUGUCCAUUUGUGACUCUAUGAAAUGCUAGCAAGCCUUUGUUUGAGCUCAGAAGAGGGGACGUUUAGGCUCACUGGAUUUACCGAUCUUCUAACUGAGCAUGUCCUCCCAUAGCCAUGGAUUCUCAUCCUCCUUGCAGCUCAAACAAACACCUAAGUAAACAUUUCAAUUUACAGUCAAUUUAAAUCAUUAGCAUGCCACUUUAAUAAUCAUUGAACUGAGCAUUUCCACUCAAGGUCACAUUAGAAAAGGGAAACCUGUGGGAACAUUUAUAGCCUGCUUAUUUAUUAUUCACAUUAGAUUGAACAUUCAUAUUGAUGGUUACAUUAGACAGCGUGAACAGGUUCCUCUAAAAGGAUGUAAGCGUAGACUUUUAACCUCAUUAAGCUCUCCUUCUUCUCUGAGAUUUGCAGUUUAUUCCUCAAGAAUAAAUUAAGAAAAAGCCACAAAUGUUUUACAUUCGCACUUUAAUCACCACUAUGCUUUUAUUUUUCUUACUUUUUUCUUAGUAGUAUCUUAGAAAUGCACUCACCAGCAGUGCUGCCCUUGCCUGGAUUGUAGGAGAGACUGUUAUUCAAACAUCCAUAUUGUUUAGACUACCACAUUACCAUGCAAACAGAAACCUACAUUUUCACCGUAGUGUUUACCUUUGAUGCUAAUCAAAAUAUUUCUUUGUUGAUGGUGUCAACAAGCUAAGGUAAAAUGUGCUAGAACUACUUUCUACUGGUAGAUAUGAGUGAUCUGUUGACUGAGUCUAUUAUGGAAGCGACAAAAUGAGAGUUAGAUUAGAUUUAUAAGAGGGCUAUUAUGGAAAAUAACUGGUCUUCAGAUGAACUCUGCAGUGUAAAAAAGUAUUAAUGAUACCAUGCGAGCACAGAAGUAAUAUCCUCACUGCUCCCCAACUUAUUAGAAUCACUUGAACCAGUAUUUUAGUCUAAUGUUACAACAGGAAAUACUUACAAUAUCGUUCAUCACAAAUUGAGGUCUGAAUAGGGUUUUAAAAAAUACUGCUUUGCCACCAACGUUUUUAUUAAACCAAAACUUUAUAAUUUGGUUGGUUUAUGUGUUUUUAAACGAAUAAAAUCAGAAGUUUUAGGUGUCAAACAACUGCGCUUCGGGUAAAUCUGAUGGAUUGCUUUCAACUCCCAAAAAUUCCAAAGUAACCAAUGUGGAAAAGAACAAGGAAAUUCAAAGGAAACAAUGAGGUGGGCAGUGAUGCAGUUUAGCUGCCAUGCACCGUAUGGGCAAUGCAUAUCUGAACAUUACCAUCUCGAGGAAAGAGAUGUGUGGCUCCCCCAUUCCUCCAAACCUUGGUAGCUUACGACCCACAAUCCUUAGAACUGAGAAACCGAAAAGAAGCCCUCUGCAAUUUAUGUAUCAGAUGAAAAAGGUGAAACCAAGGUGUUUGCUGUUUCUUUUUUUCACUUAAAAGAAACUAAAACAACAAAGGGCCAUUAUCACAAAUUGGGAUGCAUUUGUGUUGAAAGUAGCCUCCCUCCUCGCCUAAUGAUAAUGAAUCAGUUCCUGUACCUUCGCUAGCAGUUCAGCUUUACUCCCAUUGUCCCAUGUGCAUCUAUUACAGUUUGCAUUUCCAGGUGUAACUGAGCAAGCAUUAUCACAGUUCAGAGGCUGAAAACACUGUUGAAGUGUUUUUGCUUCGCUUUUCAAAUUCUGAUCCGAGUGGGGAGGAUCAGCACGAGCAGCUCUUCCACCUCUAUGACUGCACUGUUUUAGGGAGAGGCCCGUGUUGACAAGCCCUUCAUUAGAGUCUUUGUCCUGAAAGAGCCCAGCACAUAAUUAAUGUCUCCAUGAUGGAUUACACGGGUGGGUUGCAAACAGAGAAGAGGUCUGCAGAAAACCAGAGAAUUGAUGCAAGGCUAUUUUCCCCAUCGAACACGCCUACUAUGUUCCCUCCUGCUCUGGCACCAAAAUUGCUGAUUAAAAAGUCACAAUAUUUACGGCAGUGGUGACUUUAGUACAGGUGCAAGUGUAAAUUAACCCCCUGUGCCUUUACCUUGCUGCUUUUUCUUCUUGUCUAUGUGGGGGGAAUGGGAGGCAGCUACAGCACCGACAAAUGAUCACCUUUAUUGUGAUUCUCACAGGUGGGGCUUUGGGUAGAUGUAAACCAUUAAUCAAAGCCAUCGUUAAUGAUGCAGAAAGCGCUGUGGAAAUUAAACCCCUUCUGUUCUCCUUGCCAUAAUGUUGAGGUGUUCAGUGUUCACCUGUUUAAAAAAAAUGAGGCUCUGUAUAGUAAGAUAUCUUGUACAAUGUCUUUGUUCUUAAUUUCAUUAUCACAGACUGGACUGUGUUUUUUUUUUUUUCUAAAUAUCACCUUCCCUUGUCUUCUUAACAAUUCACAGCUCUUUUACAUCACAUAUCACCUUUACCCAUUCUCACACUGAUGGCAGCUAUGCAAAGCACCCAUUAGUAUUGACUGAUUCCAUUCAUAUGCUACUGGACACACAGUUUUUCUUUAUCAUUAUAUAUUUUUUUUAGAUUUAUGUAGUGCUAAACAUUUUUUUAUUGUUUUGUUUAUGAAACCCGUCAUAAUAUUGUUACCCUGUUGGCUUGUUGAAGUGACUUUUCUCUACCAGCUCUGUGUUCAGUGGGUUGCUCAUUAAAAGAAAACACGUUUCCUAUUUUGGGUGCACUGAACUUCCAUUUUCGUUUCUGCUGUAUUUAGACGGGUAAAGAUAUCAUUCGAUUUUUCUUGUAUCAUGUCUUAGAUCAUAAUAAAGGAUAUAUGAUGACGUAACAUAUACAGUUUAUAAUAUAUCAUGAAGUAGGGCUGUCACUUUUUAUCCGAAAUCCAAACCUUCAUUGAACCCUUGGGAAAAAGAUCAUAUUCAAACUGUAAUGAGUCAUUCAAAUUCACAAUAACACAGUAUACCAGUGUUUUGAAGUAGCCUGCCUUGUGAUCCAGUAGAGAGUGCUCCCAUUGUAACCUGACCAAUCUAUUCACUGUUGACCUCAUUCAGUAAAUACAGUAAAGUCAUUCUUCAAAAAUGAGGACAUGGUCCAGCAAAGCUUAGGUCAGGGAAGCUGGAUGUGGAGGUAUUUUGGAAUCUCUACUGCAGAUUGAUAGUUAAAAUACAAAGAUAGGGCAGUAUGUUGACUUUGUGCUCAGCAGUAUUCAUCAGCAGCGGUGGAGAAGGCAUUACAGUAAAGUGGCGGAACAGCAAGAGUUUCACCAAAGUGAUGUCUUUUUUUGUGUGUGUGUGUCGAGCCCCAUGGCAGAGGCUCAGAAAAAAAUCCCAAUAUUGAUAGAAUCACAAAAUUUGAAUGUAUCCAAACAUUAGCACGUCACGUUCGAUAUUUGUUCGAAGUUGUUUUUUUUUUUUUUUUGAACUGACAGUCCUAUUGUAAAAUUAUUCUGGAAACAUGAAAACUUUAUAUUCUGAUCAACUAGAACAAAAUUUUUGACCCACCUACACUGCAAUCCUGCUGUUUUCUGAACUCCACUUUUAAAUUCUCAGGAAAUUGGAGUAUGUGGUGGAGUGCAAUGUAUAAUCAUCAGAAUCUGUCUCAAUGAUGCCCCCCGUGUCUUGAGCAGAGUUUCAAAGCCCAGCGAUAGUUAUUACCAUAUUUCACUUUCAGCAGACCUAGUAAGAGACGAAGAGAUGGAUAUGAGGCUAGCUUUAAGCACCUUCUUUGACAGUUAUUGUGUACCUGCCUCAUGCAGGUCAGCAAAUAGACGCAUCAGCUAUUCAGACCAAACUGACUUUGUAACCAGACUUUACCUUGAGAUUUGCUGUAAAUAAGGGCUCUUUAGAAUGGGUGUGUAUGUGGUUUACUUCGCUUUUGGAGCCAGCCUCAAAUGGUCACUCAUGGAACUGCAGUCUUUGGUGCAUCCUUUUUGCCUUAUUUCUCAAGACCAGAGGUUAGUGCUCUAUCUGUAUCUUGUUAUGACAACACUGCAUUGGUCAGUGGAUCUGGUCACUCUUCUCUCUGUGCAAUGAGUUUUCAACAAAUGUUGAAAGUGUUUUCACAGUUUUCUCUAUAACCUACCACUUAAACUUGUAGUUAAGUAUCUUAUUUGACUAUGCCAACUAGUGUCUUCAAGACAGAAUGUGUCAAAAACCUAGAUAGGAAUUUUGUUAUUUUUUAUCGGGACUUUCAUUGUUGUCGCCAGAAUGUCAAAACUUAUCGCGAUAAUUUUUUUUUGCCUAUAUCUCCCCUCCCUACUCUGAUGUUACUUUUGUAUUACUUGUUUAUUCUCCACCACUUGUAUAAUUUUGAGUAGCAAUGGAUCAUAGAUGUCUUCUAUCGAGUUGCUCAAGGAUUAAGUCGAAUGAUUUUAAUAUUUGACUUCCAGAGGGAGAGCCAAUGUGGACAUCAAUGUGCACAUUUUCCCUAAAACCUCCAGGCUAUGUUUUAAUAAAACAAACUAAAUCAUAACUAAUUGCAACAUAUAACUUGUUACAUGUGAGAUCAAGUGGGCUCAAGUGGACUGGCAUCUAACUGGAGUUACUCAGAACGUUUGAUCUUGGAGUUCUCGUUUAAUGUGUACUCGUGGGAGGCGAUGUGCAAAGUUCCUCUCUAUUUCCAGGGUUUUUGGAAAUAAAGUUUAAUUUGACCAGAGCUGCUUUACAAAAUCUGUAUGUCUUAAAGGUUGUAAGAACCCCAGUGUCCUUAGCUUUCCAUGCACAUCAUUCAGCUCCCCUACAGGUCUGGAGAACUCCCUUCAAAUACAUUCAUCUGUCUCGCCUGUGAUCUCAGUACAGUGGGUGAAGCGACUUGCUCAAUUAUACAUUUACUUAGACGAGUAAUAAAGCGCUGCCACUCUCUGCCAAAGCUGGGGCUGAUUACACCUUCUGUACAAGCUGUUUUCCCAGCCUCCUGUUCCUCCCCUUACAGUGAUCAAGACAUUCAUCCCAAAGAGAGGCACCUUACUGAAAUGACUGCAGCUCCCAGAACUGCAUCUGAACGCUGUCAGAGCCCCCUUUUGUGUUUCUUUUUUCAGUCUAAGGAGCAUGUUAUCCCCUCACACAUGGAGCUCUAAUCUCUGCAGUAAAUAAGCAUCCCGACAUCCUCACAUGAUGACACUAUCUGUCCUACCGCUGAGCAUGCUUCAUGUCUAAAGCUUUGAUAAGCUUUAUCAGGACUGUUUGCUUUAAAUUUUUAUGCCCUCUAGUACCAAGGUUACGAGAAAAAAAAAAAAAGCAGCUGGCAAUGAUUCUUUGAAUGAUAUGUUGGCAUUUUUGUUUUAUUUUACGGCUACGCAUGUUGAAAUACCUUCAAAAGAAAUGAUGCAACCUCGUCUUCAUGGAGAAAUAUAAAACUCCCUUUGUUGCAUGUUGUUCAUGUUUGCUCUCUGAUAAAAGCAUGUUAAAGCCAACAUGCAGCCAGCGUAUUUCAUGCUGAAGGGAUAGAUAGCACUGUUUUUUUAAUGUGAAGUAAAGGCGUGUAAAGUCGUGUCAAUAGAAGACAGGGCUCGAGAGUUCAACGGCGCUCUAUCACGAGCUUGCUGUAACAUCAGUGAGAAUUCUUUGAUUUUAUCCCAAUCGCUGUUUGUGGGCCUUUUAUUUUUCUCACUUGAAAAGGUUGCAGUCCCCCUGAGGUAAACCGUAUUUUUACAUGCUCAAACUGCAUGGAUAAAAAUUGAUAUAACUUCUACAUUUACUCAGUUGUCUUUCUUGCCAACCACCAUGAGCUAAAAGAUCCCCCCUGGGAAACUAUUUCCCCUGGCUUCAUGUGUGUGUGUGAGAGAGAGAGAGAGAGAGAGAGAGAGAGAGAGAACGCUGAUGGCGAGUUUCUGAUUGAAUUGACAGCUCAUGACUAGUGCUCAGCUGCUGCAUUUGGCAAGAGAGGAAGAGAUUCCAUCCUGAAUUUAACGCUCCACUAAUUGGACACACAUGCACAAGCGAGAGCAAGUAAAAGCGUAAAAGAGAGGGCUUCAUUUAAAAACAAUUAGCGAAGUUGAUGGUCUUAAAUUAACCUGUGUAAGAUUCAAGCCCUGCUUAUUUUUUCGUGCAAUCACACUCUCACUCAUUUUGACACUGAUAGCCAGUUAUUUCUCAGCAAUCUUAAGACUGUGAGUUAACAUUCACGAAUAGUAUUCACAUUUUCACAUUUAAUGUGGAGGUAUGAGUGGAAGAUAACAACUGCUCUACCAAUUAACACUGCAGUGCUUUUGGGUGUACAGCCAUUAUUUCAACAUACUGUGUCUUUGUGAAAACUGAUACCUGGAAACUCAUCUGCAUCCGCCAUUCAUUACAAAGAUAACAUCUGUCCAAGUGUUUUUUAUCAUCAGCUAUAAACCAUGAAAAAAAACUGUUCAAGCUGUUCAGACAGAGCUUCGUACUUCAACACACGGGAGUCUUUAGAGCUGUUAUCUUUUCCUUUCAUUUCACAGUUUUUUCUAUCUGAUUUGCAGUUUUAUAAUAUGAUCACUUUUGGGAUUGAAAAACAAAAUCAAAUGAGUCCAGCACGAGCAGGGAGAUUUUAUAUGUGGUCAAAUGGUCGUGUGCACUUAAACAUCAUCACUCAAUACAAGUCUUUUCCUGGCCUCUGGUUGCCAAGGAAACCUUUCAGCUGUGUGUGUGUGUGUGUGUAUGUGGGAUGUUGAAUGCAUAUGUCUGUUUGUUCUUCAAAAUAAUUACACUCAUACAGCUGGCAUCAUCUGUGUGGGAGGGAUUUUGUGUUUUUUUUGUCCCAUGGAUGUAUGGCUAUCACUUCUGUAGUCGUGCACCUGCUACCCAAUACUGAGAGAGGAUGUGUGUGUGCUGUGAGUGAGUGUGUGAGCAGAGGUGAGGGUGUCAGACAGCAGACUGGAUAUGAGCACUGACUUUCAUCAUCCUGAAAUUAUUAAAAAUAUUUCUGCAUAUAUAAGAGGACUUCACUUUACAUCAAGUUUUUUUUUUUUUUUUUUCCAUAGAAGCCAUUUUUCUAAAGUUAAAAUGAUAAAAUAAAGUGGUUUCUGGGUUUUGCUUCAUCAUGCCAUAUUUUACAGUAUACUCCAGUUUAUAUAUUCAAGGAGCUGUCCAAGAUAAAUCCCAUAUUGUGCUUUCUUAUUAUUCUCCCACCCACUAGUCCAACAAAAACCUCAUACUGUACAAAAUGAAAGUAUUCUUCCUCCAGUGGUCCCUAUUAACUCCAAACCUCUGCUUUGUUGCUGUAACAAAGGGCAUUUCAAUGUUUUGAACUUGUUUCUGCAUAUUAAAAACUUUGACUAAGACCAUUGAUGAACUUGAAAUUAACACUUCAAAGAAAAAGGAUUAGAGAGAGCACUGGCAGGGUAUAUUUAAUCACGCUUUAUUGUUAGGUCUUAGUCUGGAGGGGAUCAUGCAUUUGAUUGUGCGCACAUAUCUGUCUGUCUGCCGCUUAUCUCAUAUAUACUGAGCCCAUCAGAAAUAAAAUCUAAGAAAAAACAUUCUUUAUGGCCGGCUGUGUGUUUUACCAACAUUGACUGCUGACCCCUCAGUCUUCAAAAAGAGCAGCAAGUAAUCAAGACUGCUUGUGUUUGAGGUUUUGUCUCUCUGCUAAGGAAGCAUAAUCCCAUGAAAGAAUGGGAAUGGGAACCCAGUUCUAUUUAUUCAGUUUUUGCUUUUUCAGAACCUGAAUAUCAAUAACAUUUGGGCUUAUUGAAUCCUGUGGGUCCUCUGUGUGGCUAAGCUGGCUUCACAUCAGUGUCUUGUCCCACCCUUUUUCGGAUUCAGUUGGGCCUAAUCACCUGCUAACUUAACAUCAUCCCUCUUUUUAACCAGCCUACCAAAUUAAGAUAUAAACAAGUCCACACAGAAUUUGGAUAAAACUUUGUUCUCUUUUCUUUUUUUAUCAUUUAAGAAUUAUUUGCAUAACCCCUUAAUGCCUUUUGUAUCAUAUUUAAUACAUACUUUUAUAUACUUCUUUUAAAUCAAGAUAUGAUCAACAUAUUACUAAAAAACACCUGAAAACAGUCCGAUAAAUUAUAGAAAUGUCCUCUUUUAGUUUAUUAGUUUCUAAAAACAUCUAAUGUAUCAAAUGAGAUAAAUAAAUAAAAUUGUAAAAUUUUAAGGACAUUUUAAUUUUUUGGGUUUUUAGUAGUAACAGAAAUAAACAUUUUAGCUCCAAAGAAAAUUGAAUUUUCUGGCCAUAAUUUGUGGUGUCGGGCAUUAAAGGGUUAAAAAAUUAAACAGUCCCUCUCAUUCCACGAUAGGCAAGGUUUCCAUGGCAAUGGUUUUUUACCUGCCUGUUGUGGGUCAAUUCAACACUUGAGUGAACAUUCCAGUUCACAUUUAAGUCAUGGUCAAAUAUUAGCCUGCAAGCUAGUUCACUUUAUUUUAACAUUUCCAUCAACGGUGAAACGGGGGAAGGUGAAGAGGUGUCCUCAAAGAAGAUAAACAUUGACUUUUGUCCUCAUGAAGUUCUCCAUCUCCUCAGAGCUUUGCAGUUUUUGCAGUUAAAAUAGCUUUUAACACAAAUGAAGCAAAUGUCACAACUUUGAACACUUCUGUGGUCAUCACUACCUUUAAUGGUUGAAGCGUCUUUGUAGCAGUCAGGAUCUUAGAGAUGUGCUCACCAGCUCUGCAGCUGUUAACCUGCAGGGCUGAACAGGAUCCAUUCUUAGAAUUGACCUCUGAGACAGUCAACCUUCUACGCCUCCACUCAAAGCAGCAGUGAUAUUUACCCAAGCUUUGUAUCGGCAGGUUAAAAGCUAGCUAGCUUAGCAAAUAAGGUAAUGUCACAUGUAACACAUGAGGUCACAUUAUAGUGUGUUCAAGGUUAGGCAGAAAAUGUCUUUUAGGCUGAGGUGAAGAAAUCGUCCUUCCUUUUCGUUGUUAUUACAUUGGUGAAGUUCUGUGACAAAUAUAUGAUCCUACCUCCACCAAAAUUAAAAAUACCACACUGCAGUGCAGUCCUUCAAGGAUGAAGGAGGCUCCAUAAUGGCAUCAAUAUCAAUAAAACCUAACAGCCCCCAUCCCUCACUCUGUUCCAGGCCUUCUGUAGGUCCAACAGCCUCAAACUCCCAUCAGUUCAGAGCUUUUGGGCAAGUUUGAGUUAAAAUCACAGAUGUAAUUGUAUGCUCACCCAACAUUGUGAAGAUUAGGAACCAUUUCUGGAUUUUCUGGUGGGUUUGGCAUGCAGAGGAAGUUGUAUUUUUGCACAACCCUAAGAGACACUCCAAUAUUAUCUCUUGUGGACACUUUAGAGCUUUUUAGUCAGCAUGAGAGGGUUGUGUACUCCCCAAUUCUAAGUAGGAAAUUAAGUUUAUUUAUGCCAGUUAUUAUACAAAACUUGCAUAAAAAUAUUGCAAAAGAUAAUGUGAACAACUGGCUUGGCAAAAGAAAAGCAAAAUAUCUUCAUGCACCAGUUGGAGCUGUUAUUGGGCAAAAAAGAAUAAUGUGGGAAUAAAUAAAAAUCACAGAAAUAUUCAGUCUUGUUUAGCUGUAAGACAGCUGCACAUUUAUUAAAGACUGAUGUGUUAUAAAAUCCUCUAAAGGCAUGACCUCAUAAUAUUACAUCCACUUUUUGUAAUCUCCUCCAACAUUUUGACUAAAAGGGGGCCACAAGGUAACAUAGAGUAAGAUUAUAUUUGUUUAUACUAAAUUAUUUAUUCAUUAUUGUUAUUUACAUUAGUAUUACUUUAGUUAAAUGUUGGGUAGCAUCAUCUUUCUUUAUGGGGAAAUUAAACACGCUUAAUUUCUGAGGUUCCAGUCCCUAAAGAGCGGGUUCAGUCAAAACUAAGUCAUAAGUCUGCAGGUUUCCACUGAUUUGUAUAAGGCCUUACUUCAACAGGUAUGGCUUAUCCCUUGUGCAUUUUACAGUUCUAGUUGUCUUGCAAAUUCAGAGGAACUACAUGGGUGACACAAACAAAGUUGACGGCGUGGAAAGAUUAGCCGCUGAAACAAUAAGUUGACACCCAGGGGAAAUGUACUUUACAUUAAUUUUGUGACUGCAGAGCUCCAGGACUUGGCCACACUUCAGACACCAAACCAUUCUUCUUUAUCUUCUCUGUUCACACAAGGUGAUGCUGACGUGCGUGGCCAAUCGGAUCAAGCGGAUGCACUGAUUUUGACUGGAGGGAAGAGUUACAGUUACUCAUGCAGAUGGACUGAUGCCAUACUGAGCUGGCUGGUGGAGGUAGGAUAUGAGUCUCUGUCAGCAGCAGCAGCAGGAAGAGGGGGAGUCAGGGCUAAUGAGGAGAGACAUUUCUGCUUUACUUUCUCCUCCUCUCAGUCACAUAUCAAAGCAGUAAGACCCUGUGCUCAAUUCACGCUUAACUUCUAGUUCGCACACUGCAUGUACACUUAAGCUCACACACUCAUCGCAACAUGAUGGCUGCUAUUAGAUGAACUGUCAUCCUCGGUAUGAGGGUGUAUAUGCCAGAUUUUCAGUCUAAGAACCCUCGGCUUCUAUACUGUGCUGGGUCUAUGAAUAGGUCCUUUUAAACUGACUGAAUAAGACUUGUAAUUAACACUUAAACCUUCAUUAAAUAGGCAACAUGUAGUUACCACAGCAACAGUAAAGGUUUCCCCUUUACAAUGACAACCACCUUUCAUAAGGUGGUUUAAUGAGUCAAGUCCUCUGAAUGUAAAGCUGCAGCAGUGUGUGAAAUGUUUGUAUUGAUAGAAGAAGACAAACUUUAUUCAUCCCUCUGGGGGGAGAAUUCAAUACUUUACAAUUUGUCCCUGCUCAUGUUAAACACACAUAAACUGAAAACACAAAUACAUACAUGACCAAGGGAUCAGUAUCUCCUCAGUACCGCUUCUUACUUUGGCCUUGGUGACCCAUAGAUUCCCGGGUCAUAUCCUGAAUCACUGCUGCCCCCGUGACACACCUAAGAUAUUGUAUAGCUUGAUGUAAAUAAAUAUUAAAUAGUGAUUUUAUUCAAGAUAACAAUCUCAAUAAUCUACUGUCUACUGAAAAACAUUGAUUUACUAUAGAGAAUUGAUUAGAUAUUGCCGACAUCACUCCUACACCUUGCUACUUUGUUAGUACCUUAGCACCCACUGUUGUUGAGAUCAUGUGAGCUCUGCAUGCUUGAUCUGGGCCCUGCAAGAUAGAGUCUGGAAUGGAUUGCUUGUAUCAGAGUUCUGUUAAUAAGAUUUUAGAUGCAGGCCGAUAUAUUCCGAUAUUCGUUUUUUUGCUGAUAUUGGAAUGAUAUCAAUAUCGGAUUGGGACAUCCCAACCAGAAAUAGCGCAUUCCCGUAGACUUGAUUUUAGCAGUCAUGAACCUUAUUCUAUUUUUGAUCACAUUCAUAAUAUGAUUUUUCCAUGCACAAAUUAAAGAACCAGAUGCAGGGACACUCAAGUAAAAUCAUUCGCUUACAGAAAACUCUGCUCAAACCUCAAACUAAACAUCCACUUUUCCUGCAGAUGUGUUGACCGUAUUCAGAAUUGGUUUAUUGGGAUUACUGAGAUAAAAAUAGUGUGCACAUUAGAGCAGUAUGUGUUUCUUUUGCUUUUCUGUGUGGGCGGCAGUAGCUCAGGAGGUAGAGCGGUCGUCCAAUAACUGGAAGGGUGGCCUUUGGGCAAGACAUUUAACCCACCUUGAUCCAAGUGAGUGUCCUCUGCUGGUGUAUGAUUGUGAGUGUUGUUGUGGUGUUGGUUUGGAGAGGUCGUAGGCGCAAAUUGGCAACCGUGUUACCGUUAGUUUGCCCCAGGGAAGCUGUGACUACUAAGGUAGUUAACCACCACCAGGCUGUGACUGUGAGAGUAAAUGAAUAAUGUAUCCAAUGUAAAGCUCUUUGAGAUCACUGAUGAAAAAGCACAAUAAAAUCUGACGCACUAUCAUCAUUAUUGUUAUGCUGUGUGCAUAGUUAGAAAAUGUAUUUCCACUGGAAACAAUGAGAAAACAAAUUUCCAGAUAGAGAUGAAAUUAUGUUAAAUACUAAUAUAUGUAAGUGUUCCUGUCAACCGUGUUCUUUUUAAAGCAGCAACUCAGAAAUCUUAAGGAUUAUAACUCCAACUAGAAUAUUUGACAUGAUCUCUGCAGACAGCUCAUGUAACAAGAGCUGCAACUGAUUAUUUCUUCAACAGUCCACAUAUUUGUCAGCUUUUGUUUCUUAUUUGAUAUCCCAACAAGAAUUCAGCCAAAGAGCUCAUCACACUUUCUCUAAACUGAACAAGACAGUGUCUUCAUUUAUUUAUUUACGGCUCAAACUAAUGUUCAGCUAAUAAGGAUAUUUAAAAUACGAUGAAACUUUAAUUCACUUCGCACAGAAGAACCCUCCAGCCAUGAUGCCUGAGAUAAAACUAAACUGAAAGGGAGUCUGGGGACAAAAAACAAUAUGCACAUUCCCACAAAGAGGUUUAUGGCACUCACAUGCUGUUGUUUUGUCCCAUACUCCUCUCUCCCCCGUGUGGCGUCCUGUCAGAGCCAGUCCAAUGACAUUUCCAGGUAGCUGAACUCUGGGACCUUAAAGUGUCACCCUCUGUUGUCAUUUCUGACUGCUACAGCCCAGACAAUGAUAAACACACACUGUGGGGGAAAAUGAUACACAGGCAACCUCAAGGUCUCCGUGCCACAGAGUGUUUUUUUUUUUUUUUUUCCCCCCACUGCUCCAUCAAACAAACUUUAGGUAGCACAUGAUUCCCUCUUUUCUAUGAUGAAAACGAUACCUGAGCAUGUAAGGAAGUAAUAUGUAUUCAAGACUUGACAGUAAGUCAGACAAAAGUUAGCCGCGUGAUUGCCGUUCACAGAGGCUGAUGCAAAAAUGAAACAAAAGUGCAAUACUUACUUCCUUUCAAAACAUAAUUUCCUUUUGCGUGUUCUUUCAACAAAUCAAGAAGCACCGAGCCUUGAAAAAAGAAAAAUCUGCACUGCUAUCUCUUCAUACUUUAUCAUAUAACACUUUGCAAGCCCCUUCCUGGACUGUUUAAUUGCCCCUGACAAAAUCAAAUAGGCUCGGUCCCUGAGAGAGUGUAUAACCACACACAUCUUAUCCAUAAAUCAGGUAAGGAGGGCCGAUGCAAGGUGGUGGUGGCAGUUAUAUAGGAACCUCAGCUGAAUCGCAUGCCUGGUGCAAGGAAAUGGACCUGUCGGACGGGCCGUGAAAUAGUGCAGCAGGGAUGUCACUCACAGCUGUGCUUUUUUAUUUCAUUGCUAUUCUGUGCAUGUGUGUGGUGCACAUAACAGGCAACAGGUGCAGCCGAGCUAAUUAAUGAGAUGCGCUUUUAAGGUUUAAGUACGGUCAAGAAAUCACACACACCUGCUUCACCUAACUGAGAACUAUUUAUCUAAAACACAACCUUCGGACUAUUCAUGUUGAUAAAACACGUCUGCUACUGCAUUACCCCUAACAGGAUCUGCAUGGACCUGUUUUUAUUUUCUAUUUUUCCCGAAAUGAUUGUGUUUCUGUGGAAAAAAAAAAGUUACACAUUCUUUAAUUGACCUGCAAAUCACAUUUAAGGAAGCACAUUAUCUGAACUCAUCUGCAAUUAUUGUCUUCACUCUCUAAUGACAUAGUAGUAGAGUGCCUCUGGGACAGAUUCCAUCUUCUUGGUAAUUACUGUGAAGCCAGCUGUUAUGGUAGCCAACUUCAGCCAAAACUUACUUUUCUGCACGCUCUACAAUCCAAUAAAAGCGACAGUCUCACCCACUUCAUAUUUGCAACAUGAAUGCGUUCAUUUAUUGAUUUAGUGCAUCCUCCAAAGUGUUACCUUACAGGUUUCAGAUCAACAGUAGAUAGUAAAUGACAUUGAGGCUUCAUUCUGGCUAUUUGAAAAAGAAAAAUGUUUUCUUGUCACUUUCCUAUCAUAAACAGGCCAUACAUUUGCUGGAAUAACCUAAGAUGCAGAUUAUUAACAAACAAAAAGGCAGGGUUUUUACUCUUUUGGUAAAUGGAUGUUGAAACAGUGAUUUAUUUUUCAUUUAAGAACAUCAGGAAACUAAACACUGCCUAUAUUGGCUGUUUUUUUUCUACACCUAUGCCUGCUGGUCUAUUAUUGUUUACUACUGCUCAGGCUACUGGUGUACCACAAACCGGAAUCUGAAUGCUUGUCAUUUUUAGACCCCCGGAUCUUCAUAUCAUUUUUAUUUAGACUCUGUAUUUGUAUUCAGUAUUUUGUAAAAAGCAGUGUUUGAUAGUCGACUCCAGUUAACUUCCUAAAUCAGAGUCGAGUUAAACUCCAGAAUAAAUAAAUAUUUUAACCGAACAAAUGAGGAAGCUUGUAGGAAGUUUUGGCCUUUAACAAUGGUUCAAGUCAAUUUAAGGACCUGUUUCUGAGCCCUCGAUCUGCUCUGUGAGUAGAAGGUUCGGUUUGGCUGCCUUUAACCAUGUUCCCCUUGAUUGAUGUGAGAUUGGCUAUAACCUCAUAUCAGGGCUUUGCAAAGUUCUCGGCUGCAUUAAGUCCUGGUCCUAAUUGAAGCCUCCCAGAGGCUAACUGGCUCGAUUGCUCCGACAUGUCAAAAAGCAUCAGUCAGUUAAAUGGGGCCGGGAGAUGGAGAGCCGUUAUUGCUGCUGCUGCUGCCUGCAGGCUGUGACCUUGCGGUGAGACAGUGCUUUAAGUGUCUCCUUUACACUCGUUGCUUCUCUGGAACAUCCAAGUUCUAUUCUUGAUAACAUGUUCAUGAUGCAUGUAGGUUAUGUACCUUCUACUGCACAAUGUGGGCAUAUAUAAUUGCGCACAUAGAUAUCCGAAGCCCAAGGCAACAAGGGUGAAAUGAAUGGCAGUUGUUCUGAGUUGCUGGUGAUCUUUCGGCAAAUCUGCUCCUCAGUUUAUCCUGGGGUGCUGUGGAAGGACAAUUACAUCGCUGGAUCUGCCAGGAGAUAGGGCCAGAACAUACAGUACUGAAUGACUACAGGAUGUUGCCAUAGUAACCCAGUGAUGACAAGGUGUGAUAACCAACUUGCAGUUAGUGUUCACUAAAGAUAUUUAAUAAGUUUACAGUCGAGCAUCUAACAGCAUCUAACAAAUAUUAGAUGAUAUCACAACAGUGCAAUUUUAUGACAUGAAGCCUUUUAAGAAGCACACUGCAAUAUUCAGUUUCACUUUGGCCAUCUAGUAAUUUGGACAAGCAGAAGUUACAUAUUAGGAGGAUGUGGGGCUUUUCCUGCCUUUGAGCUCUCACACCCGCACGGUGCACUUCCUCUUCUCUGCUGCUUUUAAGUGCCAGAAAGCUGAAAAAACUGCUGGAUUAAAGAAAGAGCUACAGUGAUCUUUCAGCACUGAGGGUGAAGAGGUAGUCAGGGUGCAGACUCACAAGAAGAGAAGCCAUCCACAACUAGAAACUAUCGAAGCUGAUCAAAAAAAACUAGCAAGUCACUAGUAAAUCAGCUGUACCCUGUGUUCUGUUUUCAGCUCUUGUGUGCACAAGAGGCAGUGCAGAGAUGGAGGAGGCAAGCAGAAUAAACAAACCGGUUUAGAAAAAAAAAAAAAAAAAAAGGCUGACUGCUGCAGCCUGAAGGCAGUACCAGGGCGGAGGGCACAGACAAAACUGAAAUCUGUCUUACAUAAAACCACCCAUCCCCUCUAUGGGGAGCUGAUGUCACCAUAAGAGCCUCUGGCCUUAACCCCAAAGGUGCAACAUCAAGUGCUUUAGGCGCUUUGUUGCACCAACAACCUUUGGAUUGCACACUUCCUGUUGUGUGAAUUGCCACACUCACAGGUAGCAACAAAGGUGUUGAAGCUGAGUGUCUCUGCCAACUGGAAAGCUGACAGAGUACUCCACACUCUGCAAUGGUUUGCAUUGAUGCAAAAGCUUAAAUGUAACAUUUAUAAUUCUAACAUUAAUCUCUGGUUAUUAUUUGCAUUGUUGUAGUUUUUGAAGAUAGUAUAAGAUAGUGUAAAUGUUGCUGUCGGAACUUAUGGGGGGGGGGGGGUCAUUUCACGGUUUGAGAGAUAUGGGUUUCGACCUUGUCAUGUUGAUUUCCUCCCAUAUUUGUGGUGCUGUCUUUUGCCGAUCUCUCUUACUGGUGACAAUGCUUUGUUGAUCCUCUGCUUUUGUAGUAACUCUCUUUCGUCCAGGUCUUUUUUAUCAUCAUAACUUCCAGGUUUCUCUAGUCUCUUCAGAGUGUAGUGGACUCCUUUGUUAAACACCUUGAAGUGUUUUGCAAUUUCUCUUUCUGUGUAUCCUUCUUUCCUCAAUGUACAAAUCUGUGCUUUUGUUUCUUUACUCAGUUGCUUCUUUCUAGCCAUUUUUGCGGUAUUUUGAACGCAGUUGGAUUCAUUAGGAUUUUCGUACGCAGGCUCUCAAAAGCCAAAAAGUUGAAGUGAAUAAUCCAACUGUGAUUUGUUUUUUUGCUCUUGCACUGAAGUUGUGACUCUUGCAAAUGUUUUCAACCCUAAAACUAAGCCCUUAUUAUCUUUUGCUGACAUAUAUUUAGCAAUAGUCUGUUAACAUCAAUGUUUAUCUAAAGGUAAAUGGAGUAAAAUGGUGCAUUUCCAUAAAAGCAACAUCUGAUCAUGGAGUAAAUACAUCCAGAAACACAUAAAACUCAUGCUGGUUUUAAAAAAAAAGCAUUGUGAACAAAAACUUGAAGUUACUCCCAACUGUUCGGCCUGUAAUGGCCUUGCUUCCAAACUUUUGGCCUGUAGUGUGUGUUUCCUCUAUUCCAGGAAAAAAAGGAAGAAUGCUGUUGCUCCUCUAUUGCGUGAAUAUAGAAAAGUCAAUUACAUGAACCAGCGCGCGCACACAGCGCUCAGUUCCCAGACACCUAAUAACAGUUAUUGCCCUAUGCCUAUUCAUAUACUGUUCUGUGGAACAAAAAACGCUUGACACCAUAAUAAUAAACCUUCUCCUGGAGCUGUGCAGUGAUAGACAGCUAUGCAGGCAGUCACUUAGAGAAACUCUGAACCUUCUGAGCCUGACUGAAUUUAUUUGUGCUGUUUCAAAUUCAGAUGAACAAAAGAAUCAUGUGUACCAAAAUGUGAGGACACGGCCACAGCAGCCGCUAUUUGCAUGGAGACUUUCUAUCCUAAGUGUGCCUUGAAUGUUAGUCCUGCAGCAGGUCCUCAAAGAAGGGCUUAGUUUUUUAAGAUACCCCUAGCCGAGUUAGAACCAACCACAACCACUUUUUUAUUCAUAUCUUUAGGGUCUUUCAUGAAUUAGAUAGAUUGUUGUGAAAUUUUAUUUUGGGGAAAAAUGUGUUUUUUUUUUGGCUAUCCUUUACAUCUACCCCAAUCUCUGAAAAGGGAAAAUCCGAAUGGGGCAAACGUGUCAAAAUAAAAACCUAUAACUUGACAAUGCUCACUGUUUUCUUAAUCAAAUUUGCAAAGGUAUGAACUUGGUGUGUACCCUACAUCACCAAAAAGUCAGAAUGUAACUUACCUAAAUAAAUACUGAAAUAUAGUCCUUUAAACAUACUUUUAGUUUAUGCGGAAAUUGUACUUUUAUGGUGAGGAUUCCUCUACUUCCCCUGAUUUCCAAAAAAAAAAGUAUACAUUUAUGUUAAAUUCUGAGGGCCUCUGCUGCUAAACUUUAAGAGGAUCUUCACUUUUCAAAUGGCUUUAUGUAUUUCUUUCAGCCUGGAUUCAUCUGUGAGGAGUAUAUAUUUACUUACAGCUGACUGCCAUUUAUCACAUUUGGCAUCGCCAGUUGACUCCCAUCAGUCUGUAGAGAGGAGUCACUUCACUGACCAAAGUAUGAUAAUUAAAAAGAUGCCUUUUUCUCAAAUAGCCUACAACCUGAUUAUUUACCAAAGUGAUUAUUCAGGUAGUUCUGUGUUCCCUGAAACAAACUUAAAAACCAAUGACUCAGCUAGAUUUGUCUGUGGAAAUCUGUAAUUCAGUUCACCUGACAUCAGCUCGACACAGACAGGAUUUCAGUGUUAAAUGACCUAAUUUCUGUGUUUUGAUUUCAUCAGCAGAUUAAAUGUCACAGCUGGCAGAGACCCUCAGUGUGCUGUAAACCCACUUAUAAAAAUAAUACAAGGUAAAUAUUGGGGUUAAAAUAAAAGGAGAAAAUAAAUAAAUAAAUAAAUAAAUAAAAAGCAUUAAUAAAAAUCAACAACUUUAGAUUAAAAGGUGUGAGAGGAUUUUACUUCUAAAAGACUAUAAUCAGUGGUGGGAUAAAAAUCUCAAGGUUCAAUUUUGUUGUUUAGUGUUUCACUGAACUUUCAGGUAAUGUUGACUCUUAGCGCUACACCCUCUUAUGAAAGUAAUACAAGGUAAAUAUUAGGGCUAAAGCCAUGUACAGAUUCAUUAUUCCACACACAUUAAUAUCUAAUAUACAUGGUCGUCUUAGACAAAAAUGUUUUAGGGAGGAUUUGUAAUGAACCAAUGAAAAGACAUAGAUAUUGGGUUAUGGUUUUGAUUGACAGAUAGUGAAUUAAAUCAACUUAAACCAAGCUGUAAGUCUAUUAGCUCUGCAAACUGAGCAUUAGCAUAUAGCUCAUAGCAUUAUGGAUGGAGCCAGAGUCUUUUUGAGUAACUGGUAUACACUUAAAGCUGUCACAUAGUCUUUGCUACAGACUUAAGUAAACUUUUAAGAUGAACUGAAUCAAAUCACUUUACUCCAGGCUUGUUUAAAUGUGCCGCCUCUCUUUGCAAAACCCGAGCCUCACAGUAGAGAUCUGAAUGACAGUAUCUGGGAGAUGAUGGCAGGGCUGUAUUAAUAUAUGCCACACAUUUUAAUUGAAGUAAUUAACAUGGCGGCAACACUGUUUAACACAUGUGAUAUCGUCCUCUAAGCAUCUGCUCAUAAUCCAUUGAUUGCCAAAUGUUUUGAGUCAUUGAAAUAGUUCUCAGCAGACAUUCUCAUAAAUCUCUCUUGAAAAUAUUCUGACAUUGUUUGUCUUUCUUAUCGUACUCCUACCAAUGUCUCAUCUAAUCUUUGGUUUUUGCUGUUUAUCCACUUUGUUACACUGAUAUGAAUACGAUUUGAAUUUUGGUGUGACUGGCAGAAUUUCUCAGGAUCACAUCCUCCGCUCUGUGAUUGAUGUUGAAAAAUUAGAGAUUCAUAGUGUUUUCCCAGUCAGCCAUUGGACCAGAAUGGUAGAUAGAGACGCUUACAGGGCCUUUACUAACAAAGCGCUGUUUGCUUAGAUCCGGCUAUCGACAUGGAUCAUAAAUCAUUCUCUAAUAUUUUUAUGCAUCCAGUCCAUCCAACCCAUCCUAAUGUUUCCUCACUCUGCUUCCUUUGUAACUCAUUUGAGUGGAGUGGUGACGCGUGACGAUGUGUGCGUAAUAGAGGGAUUUCUGGAAUCGGCUUGGUGGAGUCAUGGGCGUUGUUUAGAUUGGCUUAAAAGUGCAACUCCCGUGACCCUGCAGCAGUGUGAGGUAUCAUGAUUAAAAAUGAAGGCCAGCUGAAGACAGACAGACCCCCCACCCCCCUUUCACAAAGAGGCCCCUAAAUUCAUUCUUGUUUUUAACCAGCUUAAAUAUACUAAAUUGUAAAAGCUAUCAGGUUGCAUUGAACAACAUGUCCCUCAAACAGUACUUUUUCUGUUUCUUGCACAUUUGUACAAUCGAAUUAGACAAAAGAGAAGCCAAACAAUCUGUCUUUAAAAAUGUAAAUCUUUAACAGUAUCUGUCACCCAGGCCGAUCACGUCAUCUUUGACCCGGCCCCUUACUACCUCCCUCCCCAGCUAAGCAAGUUGUGCUGGUGUUGCCCUUAUUGCCUUCAUGUCCUGACCUUCGCUGCCUUAGCUUGUCACACUCUUAUCAAAUGCUAUCUGAUGGCACCGCAGGACCCAAAAGCAAGCAAACACGCUGAUAGGAUCUGUCUGACUGGUUAAGGAGAUGCCACUCCCCUCUUGCUUUUUGUUUUCUUUCCCCUCCUCUCUAUUAACAUCCAGCACAGCUUAAGGGAAAUGUAAAUCUCUGAUCUGUUUCUUUAAUGUCCUCUCAUCUGGAAAAAUCACUUCAAAUGCGGAUUUGUGUCUGUCUUUUUUCACCAUCCCACUUUCACAGAUGUAACCCCCUCUCCAUGGAGGAAGUCCCUGUGGCAGAAUGCUAGCAGCUAGCUGCUCUUGCUGGCUGAUUAUCAGAUAUGGAAGUGCACUGUUUUUCUGUGUUCAGCCAGUGCCAAGGAGAAUACUGCUAUAGGCAACAACUGCCUAUACUGGAAAGAAAAAAAAAGCACACUUUCAUACUAGAUCCUGUUUUUUAUGUAGUAUGGGGUAUAAAGCUUUCAACCAUUAGGCCCCUCUCAUGUUCAUGAUAAAGAACAUGUUUUGAUUGCAAUAAGAGCUCAAUAUUGACUCUGUGUUCUACAUUCAGCUCAAACUGCAAUCUUCUUGAAAAAAAAACCAUCCUAUAUCCAUCAACCGUCUGCCUCAAGAAGUCUAUAUCAUGCUUUCCACUCUAUCAUCUCCCUCUUAUUCAUGGAAGUACUCCAAAUUGUCUCUAAGUACACUGUUUUUUUGAAAGCUGAAGAACAGAAAAAGAACAUAGCAGAAACUGAGUAUGCGUCAUGCAAAAAUAGGAAAGCCAUAGCAACAGCAUCUGAAGAAGGACCGGGGCUUAGAGGUUGUUAAUUUGUGGUUUUCUGGAGUUGAUCUACUCUACAUAAUAUAUGCCCAAGAGCAGUUAUCAACAUUUGCACUUUGUUAACACAAUAAAUUCGGUACUUGUUAACAAAUAUUUUCUCGUUUAUGCAUCCCCAUACAAUAAAAUAAUACCGACCAAAGGUUACGCAGUUGUUUCAGUCUUUCAAUGUAAACACUGCAGUAAAUUAAACCCAAUGGGAAUGUGGAAAGCAUGAAGAAAUCUAACAACUGACAAAGCUUGUAAACAUUAAAGAGAGUGAAUGCAAUGAAGUACAAGAGCAUCACAUUUUUGCACUUGGCAAAGAGCAGAUUUAUCAUCUGCUGAAUUAAUAGGUACUAACCAACGAGAAGUCUUAUGACAGAUCCCCAUUCAGCUUCAGAAAAGGUCACCAUGUGAUGAGCUUUUUAGUGGAUCAACCUUUCUACAUGUACAAAAUGCUGUCUUGUAUUUAUCUACAGUAUAUCCGUAAUAAAGGAGCAAAAUAAGUUUAUUGCUUUUGCACAAUAGCACAGACACCAGCUCAUGCUUAUAUGAUACACAGCAGCAACUCAGAAUAACACUCAUAAAGACAAGUGAUUGUGAAUUGUCAUUGGAGGUGUAGAUCCGUUUCAAGCCUUCAUUUUCAGCUUUUGUUUGAAAGUGAGGACAUUCAGCAAGCAUUCAGCAGUCAACACAAUCGCUGUUCUCCGCUGUAAAUGUUCCUAAAUAGACUCCUCACGCUUUGUGCAAAUAAACUCUGCAGCGAUCUAUUUUGACAACUUAUUUAAAACACUGAAAAUGUUGCCUCUAAGAGAAGUUUUCAUCAUAAGUUUGGGAGAAAGCUCCUCGAACAGUGUUUAAAAGGGCACCUGAACGCAUGAAAAACUUUAAAAACACCAGUGAAUGAUUAUUUUUAUGCAAAAAAAGUAACUGUUAGUGACAGUGUGUUGUCAACUGAUGAAUAAAUCAUGCAUUAAAAAUUUCAAAUUAAACAGUCACAAUGAUGGGCUGAAUUUAGACGUGGCUGAACUAAUAUUUGUAUUUUUAUUUCUUAAUUCACAAUUUACCCAUCAUGAGUGAAGUGGCAAUCUGUGGCGGUCAUCAGGGUGUGAAUCACUAUUGAAAGGUGAUGGCUGUGUAAAUUCUCAUUUUGUACCAGUCCACAAGAGCCAGGAGAGGCUGGAGUGGUUAGCUGAAGAGAUUUAUUGUUCAGUUUAGUUUUUACGAUGGUUUUGUUUUUUCUGCAUGUAUGGAAAUUAAUCAGUAAGCCUACCAUUUGUAUCCCUGCUAAUAUUUUCUCUUUUUUUUUUAUUUUAUUGGCCAUAAACUUGUUUUUUACAGUUAGGCAAGGCAAACAAACAAAUAGGCCAAAAUUGUUUGUGAUUGUAAAAGCCCUUUUGGCCGGAUUUCAGCAACACUGGGUCCAUUUUUAAAACAAUCAGCCAGGACGCAACAACAGGACCUGAUGAUUCAAAGAGGCAGUUUGUGUUUUACCAGACAGCCCCUGAUCAUGCUGAUAUCCCCCUUUUUAGUACAGUGAGCUUGUUGGACUGCAGCAGGUUGACUAACCGGCUGUGAAAAUCCAUUUUAUUCUUCUUAAUUUACACGUACACACACACAUUGUCUUUUAGUCUCACACGAGCUGAAAAAGUAAAACACACCUGCCCCCCUCCCUGUUCUUUUUCGCCACAAUUCGGCAGGUGGCAGAGUGCCUUGUUCCUUUGGAAAACAAAAAAAUAAAACAUGUGAGAGAAAAAAAAUCUAUAAAAGGCAAAUAAACAAGAGUGGGAGCUGCCGCCAGCAUGCUUGCAUUCUGCCCAGGAUAAUAGAAAUGGAAGUACGAUAAGGUUCCUGUAUAACCUCCCACGCAGAGGUGUAACUGAGUUCACUUUUCUUUGUCCUGCAUUCGGUUUCAGGCUUUUGCACCUGUUAAUGCUACUGUGCAUGACUGGUUCUAAAUGCAGCGCACAGACAAGCAGAUACCCAUGUGGCACAAACAUCCAAAGUAAGCCUUGGAUGUUGAUAGAGUUUAGAAAAGAAGCAGGUACUGUGUAGGUGGUGAAGAUUUAUUUAAUCAACCACAGUGAGUGCUUGUGGUCAUAGUGUAGCCUAAUAACACAAGCCAAAUUAAUGAGUUAUUAUCUGUUAGACACUUUUAAUAAGCAGAGACAGGCACUUUUUAGCUCAGAGCAACAAUAAACUACAUAAAACUAUUGUUUGGUGAUUGUCUGCAGCAUAUAUUCCUGCACUCUUCCUCUUCAACCUAGAAAACAAAUCAGAAACACACCUACUCUCUCAAACACAGACAGACAAAAAAAGCCUGUAAUUUACUUACUUCUUUCUAUCUUAUCAAGCGCUGCACAGUACAGCGCUGCGGGCUUCACUUGUUUUAUGCACAUUACUGGGACACAUAGGCUUUUAUGUUCUGUGGAACAGGAUGUAACAGUGCCAGGCAGGGUUUAGUUCAUUGGGCCAUUUCCCCUCCUCUUAUUAAAUAUCCUUGUCCUUGGAACAACUAUUGGGGAAAGAGAAGGGGGCCUCUUCAAAGCUUGUCUUGUCUUCUGAAGAUAGACUGUAUGCAGGACUCUCUUCCUUGGCUUGGAGCAAGAAAUGGGUAAUAUGAUCCAUGCAAAAUACUACAUGGCCAGCAAGAAGUAUUCAGCUUCAGAUCAAGAUAAUAUUUUUUUUAUAUUUUGCACCUUGGGAUGGAGUUGCUAUUGAUAUUUUUGUAGUGAUAGCAGGGAUUCUACUUUCAUAAGCCUAAAUGAUGAAACAUACAGGAUCCGUAUUGAGCGCGUAACAUCAACGUUGCGCAUCAUGCAGCAAAUAGGUUUCUAUUCUAAUCAAUGCUGCAAACCCCACAGGACGCCUCUUCGCGCCGUCUCAGAAGUGUGUCUCUGCUAAAGAUACGCACCAAGUCGAUUUUCGCUGCUUUAUGCUUCCAACAUGCAUUAAGAGAAGAUCUAGACAAGAUGUCACGGUCGGAAAUGGCGCAUGUCAUCUGGUAAAUUUCAAAAUAAAACACCAUAUAUGAACUCCCGGCUGUGUAUUAGUUUGUGUAGAUAAAAAAUAAUUUCUGGUUAUGGAUUUCUCAGUAACAUAUAACAAUCUGAUGGUCAAUCCCUGAUCCAUUUGGCCCCCAAUGACUUUAAACCGUUGACUCUGUCUGAAUGUAACAGCACAGCAUAAAGGAACAUAGUUAACUUUCGUAAACACAAGGAAACCUGCGAAAAACGACACUUUAAAAUCACGUUCAUUUUUCACAUCCAGUAGAAGCGCAACAGUCACCGAAUUAUAUCCAAAUUAGCAGUAAAUAGACCACAGAAAGGCAAAAAAAACCUGUUGUGAGCAUGUUGUUUCCUCUAUACUGAGCCAAGCUGACCAGGGCUGCUGUACACUGCUGCCACGCUCCAGACACGCAUCCUGUGGGCGAUCAGGAGCUCUGCAUGACAGAGCAGAGACUCAACGCUGAUGGAAUGCGCUCAACACGGAUCCUGUGGGCUUUAGGCUUUAAUCUCCCCAAAUAUCAGUAACCUGAAACCAAAAUCGUUGCCAUGUACAGAUGUUCAAAAGCAACUAAUUUUCCACUUAAUUGUUGACCAGACCGUUCACAAUUCAACAACAACCAAUCAUAUACUAGCUACAGGAACAGCUUUGAUUCUCCACAGUAAUAUUAAUCUUGGUAUCUACAAGAUCACAGGUAAAAAGGGCAGCAUAAAUUUUUACAUCACUUAUGAGAAAACAUGUUCUGCAUUGCAGGAGCUCGGCCUUUCAAGUUCUUAUUUAUAAAUUAAGAACUGGCUUGAAUAAUAGAAACUCAAAAGCUGGGUAUGAUAGACAGCAUUAGCCUCCUGGCAUCUGAGGCACUCUGCAGUCCUCCACAGCGUGGGAUGAUGCAUGGCCUACUAUGAGUGAUGUAGACCUGCUCUGUUGAAAAGGGCUUUUUGUGGAGAAGAGACCGGCCCUCGGGUAAAUUGCCAGUGACAUUCCAAGUGCUCAUAAAACAUCCUCGUGGACGAUGGAUGCAAAAGCAUUCCUUUUGUGCUCUCUCAAUAUUCUAUUUAGUCUAAUUAGGACGAUGGGGUCUGUAAAUGUUUGAGUCAUUGUGGGAUCACAGAGGCCCGCAGGUGAAGAAGGCGAUGAAAGGCAUCAGACAAAGGAGGAACCAGCUACUUUAGUGCAAGCAUCGUACAAUACGGGCUUAAGGCAGAGGAAAGGAUUUCGAAGUUCUUCUUGUAAGACAAAACAAGACGGGACAUAGCCGGGACCACAUUGAAGAAGAGACAGACAGAGAUGCUUUUAGAGCUCAGAAGGGGGAAAUAUGAGAGCAGGGAAGAUGAAGGAAGAUGGAGAGAGACUUCUCUUCACCCUCAGCUCAUUUGUCAUGUGGCUGCAGAUCCCGGGGAUAGAAACACUAAUGAGCAAAAGCACACUUCCUUAUAUUUGUAUGUGUGAAUGGAGCUCAUACCCAAAGCAGUGUGGGUGUUGAGUCCACUCAUUAAUCUCCCUGGACGUCAUUUGUGCUACAUGGAUGUACUGAAUCACAUCGCUCCUGUGAUGUAGUUUUGCUUCAGCGAGAACUGUUCAGUCAGUAAUGUUCUUCACAGUUCGAUUCACGCUGAUCUACUAUCGCUGCGGCCUGCUGUGUCUGGAAGAGAAGCGGUUUUAAGUUUCAGCAUCCAGAUGUAAAACUAAAUGUUACACAUUUCCCAACAAGCAAGAAGAAUGAAAACUAUAAAUCCUAAACAGCUGAAAUUGAGCUGAAAAUGAGGCAAAGGGAAGCUUACGAACAAGCUCCCUGAAUGUCCUUGUGUUUUUGUUUUCCUCUAUAUUACUCCAAGCUAGAUUUUGCAUAAAGAGUAAGUUGCAUAUAAAUCCCUCAUUACUCAUAUUCUUUGAGGUAGAGCGUGUGUGCGUGUGUAUGCGCAUGGGUUCAACUUCACAAUGCAAUUAGUGCGUACAAGAGAGUUUUGUAGUGUGUGUGUGUUAGAGAGAGAAAAUGUGUGUCUGCUCUUGUCAGGAGCACAUGUUUUCUAAGAGCCUCCUCUGCUUUCACCCAGUUGGUGGGCUGAUGAGCAUUGAUUGGUUGAAUGAAAUUAUCAGAUGCCUCUGAGAGCCCCCUGGGACUUGGCAUGUGUGUGUGAAAGUUUGCAUUUGUACACAAAAGCAGGUGCUUCUGAUUAUGUUGUGCUCUUUUAUUGACUGUUUUUAGUCUUUUCACCACAUUUAGGAAUGCGAUGGUGCAACUAAGUAUACGGUAGAUUUAUUGUUGUCAGAUAUAGCAUCAAGCCGCCCAGUGUGUGUUAGUAUGUUUGUGUGUGUUUGCAUAUGUGCCUGCACGUAUGCUGGCGAUGAUGCCCUUGUAGAUUACAUGGGGAGCACAAUCUGUGUUUAGCACACUCGCCCUUAGAGGGCGGAUUAUGGGAUAAACAGAGUGGCGGGCCUGUCACCACACACACAUAGAAAUGCAUAUUAACUCACACACACGCACACUGGAGGUUUAGGUGGUGAUCAGCAAGGUGCAAGCAGUUGAAGUCGCACUCAUAAACUCAUACACUGAUGUUCAUUUAUCUGCAUUUGCACAUGUGCUGACUGCUUGAUGAGUUGGUUGCUUACUGUAUUCACACCCUGCAGGCUUGCUAAGAUUUAGGGCACGAAAACGAGCACAAGGAAGGGUUUCAGCGUACGCCGUUUUACUCGCGUUCAAACUUUGUUUUCUUAACAACAAAAAAAUCACUUACCUCAGCUACAGCACUCACAGUGAGGAACAACAUCUGAGUGUUUCACACACAAGGUUAAUUAAAUGUGUGAUGUUGAGCUGAAAGAUAAAAUGACAGCUUUCAUUUUGUAAAAGCUUGGCUAAUUAAACAAGUGAGACAUUCUUCUCCGAGCUUAAGUAAUUACACGAAACAUUUGAAGACAGCAUAAGAAAGUUCUCACAGCGAUGGCUGAGUGAGGUUUAUGAACAUGAAGCUCCAUUUAAUGAUGAAAGUGUCAUGUAUUGAUAGAAGAAAGUGUCAUCUGCAAAGUGAGAAAUCCCUCUCAGCUACAUCAGACUUGUUGUCCUCCGUCUUUGGACACUUAUCUCUCAUUGACCUAUCAUCUUUCAUGGAUCCAUCCACAUAAGGCUCCUCACAGUCACUGGAAUGCACAUAGGCACAUGUUGACUUAUAGAUGUGUGCUAUGAACACACACAGAUGCAUCCUCCCCUCUCCCUUCCACAGUGAUCUCAAGGACACUCAGUCAACAUUUACUGGAGCUUUGAUGGCUUUACGGCCUACGUUAUUACUUCCUCCCCUCCUCCUCCUCAUGCUCCUCCCGUCCUCCCUGUGUCAUCAGCAGGUCUCGGGUCUUUCAUAUCAUAGUGUAAUUAACCACACAACAGGGAGUAGCUCAGCAUCCAGCUUCCAGCGAUGAUUUUAAAGCUUCAAGCCAAAACCAUCUGCUACAUUUUUUUUCCCCUGUAUUUAGAAGAGAACUGCAUUUAAUUUGAAACAUAAUGCUUACUCUCUGCAUGUUGUAGCAGCUCCAGAUGCUCUUUUCUAAUGGAUGAUACACAUUGCAAAUUUUGCUCGUUUAGUGUAAUUUAUUUGAUCCCUGAAAAAGUCAGUGAAUAUUUUUUUUUUUACAGUCCAUAGACGGUGGAUCCUUUGGUGUAUGUUGUGCUCUGGCCUUUACCUGAGUACCCCCAAUGAAUAGACGACUAUGAUUUUAUGUGUUUGUUUUCACUGCAGACUGACAGUAAUGCAAAUACAUCAACUUCUCCUGUUACAAAUGUAAAAUUAAAUUGUCAGUAAUUAGCAGUUCCAGACAUCCCUUUGCUGUAGUUGAACUCUUUUUCUAUGUAGAGCAUGCUCACUGGCUGGAAUGGAAAGCAUGGUCAGCAUUGCAACAGCUAACAUGACCAUGCAAACAGUUUCACUGUAGGUUUUUGUGCAUCCAAGCAUAGCUUUAUGCAGUCCUGUGCUGAACAACUGUUCUUGAAGAUGAUCCAAAACUUCAUCUCCCUAACUUCUUUGGUGAAGUGCACAAGUAGGCACAAAGGCCAGUCACAGAUCAGCUGCUUCUGAGUAGCAGUAUGAAUUUCUAGCAUGUUUGAAAUUUUGGUCUUCCUUUAGUAUUAUUUUGAAUAAUAAAUAAUGCAUUAGAUUUCAUAUAGCGCUUUAUCAGAGACCCUAAAAGCGCUUUACAUUGGAUAUAUGAUUCAUUCACUCACACAGUCACACUUUGGUGGUGGUAAACUACCUUAGUAGCACAAGGAAGGGGGGCAGACUGACGGAAACGUGGCUGCCAUUUUGCCCCCACGGUCUCUCUGACCACCACCACACAACACUCACAAUCAUACACCUGUGGAAGACACACACUGGGAGUAAGGUGGGUUAAGUGUCUUGCCCAAGGACACAACGGGCAGACUCAGGAUAGGGGGGAAUCGAACCGCCAACCUUCCAUUUAUUGGACAACCACUCUCCCUCCUGAGCUACUGCCGCCCCAAUCUUGCACCAUGAAUGCACGGCCACCAGAGGAUUCACCAACUUCACUUUUUUUUUUUUCCUCGUUGCAAAUGGUGUGCAGCAUCUAAAAACACAAUGGCAUCUUGACAUAUGGAUUUGCAACUGAAAUACUAAGUUGUGCCAACCAGCCACAAUGUUGUGACCAACUGUGCAGUGUAAUGUGAUCAAAUACAACAGUCCUGCCAAAAAUCCAACUUCUACAAAUGUUUCCUCCUUUUCAGUCUUUGUUGACAUGUCAAAGAAGUGAAAGUCAUACUUGAUAUUCACCAUUCAGUGCCUGUUCUCUGAUGGCCACUUCAGUCUCCAGUCUGUGAAGGUUUUCAUUAGAAACUUUAUUGUCACCGCUCCAACCCUGUUUAACAUGAACAGCAUGAACACAUGAUUUGUGAGCUUUGGUUAUGCACCAUGAUUCAUUUAUACAGCAUGAGUUGACAGUCCACCAUGAAAUUAAUGUGUUUGCGCAGUCUAUGCUGGAUUUUCUUCUUUUUCUGCCGAGAAUUCAUCCAGUAUCUAGUUGUAUUGAUUUAUUAGCAAACAGGAAAUGGGGUCAAUGAAAGCAACACCUUGUCAGCGCAUCUUAGACUCAAGUUGAUUUAAUGGUCUUUUAGUUCUGGGGCUGUAAAAAGAUAAAGGAAAAAUACUCCAAAGUAACCUGUUUUUUUAUAUCGUAUGUUAGAUUGUUAAAAUAACAAAGGCUUGGGAUUGAUAUGAAGAAUUCUUUCAAGCACAAUAUGUCUUUUUUUUUUUGCUGCGAGGCUUUAAUAUAUGGAUUUUAGAGUGGAAAAAAAGAAGCAUAAUGGAAGUCCUUUUUUUGGUUUUUCAAUCAUCUUCUGUUGCUGAGCACUUCCUUACAAAUCACAUUGUAGCUGGCAAAUACUGACAGCCAGAUGAUGAAGGUGAAGGGUUUGUAAAGAAUUACAGUUGUAAUGUUUCAUGGAGGUGUAAUCAAUGCAGUGCGCUCCAGAGAGUCUUUCAGAGACUCUGGUAAAAUCUCGCCCCAUGGCAGCACUCCAGAUUUAGUCCAUCCCGAGCUAGCAAACAACAUAAAAACUCAUCCGAACUCAUGAGCCCAUCGAAACCAAGCCCCUUCACAGUAUUGCACCCAGAGAGCCCCUGUGAGCCUCUUCUUAUUGGUGGUGAAGACAGAGAGGAGUAAGGGCGACAAUUCAUUUAAUCCCUUCAUGAAUCCUCUUCUUCUCUCUCGGGGUGAUAUUGAAAAGAUGCUCCAGGCUUUCCCCCCAGCAAAGCCAAGCAGAGAGGCCCAUGGGAUAUAUUUUAUUCAGGCAAUGCCAAAUUUUGUACCCAGCUCACUCGCAGAGGCACACAUACCAACUGCAGUUUUUAUGAAAGAGGAAUCAUUGUCCUAUAUUUCAGUCUUGUAUCUCCUGCACACAUUUUCCCAUUGACUAGCACUGAUAUCACUCUUAUAGACUUUAAAACAAGAGCUGCAGUAUAGUUUAACAGCCCUGAUGCUGCCUUUUGUUGCCCUUAAAUUUCCCCUUAAGUAGCUUUGAAGAUAGACAAAACACUUGACGAAAAGCGCACUCAUAUCUUCCCUUUGGUGCAGUUUUCAGAAGCUAUACCACUCUUAAGUUGUGAGAAAUAUCAGUGAGAACAUGUGUAGUACUCUAAACACACAUACAGAAACAAACCACACACACGUUUCUGCUUCAUCUCUAUCGCUCGCGCUCUCUUUCGUGUUUUUGUCAUUACCCAGGGACCAGUGAUUAUGUUGCAACAAACACACUCUUCACACUUUCUCCAUCCCUGCGUCUCGCCUCAUUAGAUGCAUGCACGAGUUGGAACACCUCGCCCUCCUACAAUCCACCGAAACAGAGGCCCUUACUAAAGUUAAUGGAGUGUAAGUCCCAUGGUAAUGUGUGGCCCUUGAACAUGUUCCCCCAUAUUGUAUAUAUCUUGAGCUUGAGUGUGUUCCAGUCUUCAUAUUGUUUGUUGACUGCCUCGUAAUUACAAGAAGUGUGAAUGUGAUAUUUCACAUUAUAAUGAUCUAAUUCUGCCCUCGCCACCAGGACAGUGUGCAUUCUGCUUAAUGGCAAUGUAAUUUGAAAAACAAUACAGCUUUAUGUGAACAAAAGAAAAUGUGCCAACAACAGCUAAUUUAUAGGUAAUCAUUGGGGGGAUUUUUCUUCCAAAUGACUUGAGAUAGUGCCUGUCAGCAGUACAGCUACAGUCCCUGUGCGCUGCUUUCAUCAGCUGUUUCCUUUAUUUCCUUCCUUUCUGCAUGUCUGACUUUGCCUAUUGGCAAUGAUUCUACAGAAAAGAAGUAGAGCCUGAGAACUCCCAAUUAAUGAGUCUUCUGUUGUUGUGUGAAAGUUUGUUUGUCCUUGAGUUCUCCGAAGCAGCUAGCAGGGGUAUCAGGAUGGAAAUUCUUCCCUCCGAAUCGAGUAAAUAUGGCAGAAUUAUUUCAGCUCAGACAUGUUUAGAGGUGCAGCUGCUGCCACUGCAACUCUGAACUCUUGUCGUCAAAGCACAAAUAAUCCUCAAACCUAGAGCAAUGUUGAACAAUGCUACUGUUAUAAUUGUCUUUUACUUUGCAAAGGUAAGAUUAGUACUUUUUCACUGAACUAAUGCAAUUUACUGAAUGUUUCCAUUUACUCAUGGGUGGUUUUCAUUUAAUCAGAACAGUGUGGUGUCUAGCUUGAUAAGGAGAAAUCUGAUGAGCCACAAGACUCUCUUUGUUCUAUCAGACGGGUUUGCUACAGUAGUUACACACCUCAAGGUCAACGACACACACAUAUUUCAAAGCACAUUUUAGUAGGACUGUGUGAACUGUGGUUGGUCUGUCUGAAUUGUACCCAGAAUUGGGCAUUCGUUGUGAUGGAGAUCCUAGGAGCUCUGUCAUUGGGAGUCCAGCGCUGUACAACUUUUCAUGUGACCUAAAUAAAUGUUUAUAUCUAAGAACUGAAGAUUUCUUUGGUUGUCUUUGAGCAGUCAACUAAAGGACAGUUUCUUACACUACUGUUGCCCUAUUCAGUCUGGGGUCUGGUCUACUUGUGUGUUCAUAAUAAUGAAAUAUCAUUGUAUGACUAUAAAUUGGCUGUCUUUUGUAGAUCACCAAGAACAACAGGAUAACGACGAUUCUGGGCAAAUGGACCACAAAGAUUCAUCAAGUCAAGACCCUUGUUCACAGCAAGA